UUUUUUUUUGUUUCUAGAAAUAUAACCAAGAAGUUCAAAUUAAAAUAACAAAGAACCAUGGUAUUUGUAUACGGAGAACGAAACAAGGCUCACCCAGAAUAAUGUAAAUUCUCGAAGUUCAUAUUUAAUAAUUUGGAGAGUUUGACAAAAAUGAGAAAACAGAAAAGAGAUACAUAUGUUCGUACAAAAGAAAGCUCAUGGGUUUCCCUACUUUUGGAAAAUUCAUUUUCAUCAUUUCUAAAACAAACUAAAAGUGCAAAUAAAAAAUGAACAUUUCAAAAAUUAUUAAAAAUUUGGAUUAUCCUGUUUAUAGAAAAAACCAAGAGUUUCAAAAUUAAAAUAUGAAGAAGUCCAAUGUUUCUUACAAACCCUAAGAAGGUCAAACUAAAAAAACCAUCUCAACACAAAUAUAUAUAAAAAAAGGAUUUCUCCCUUAAAAAAUCCAAGAAGUUCAAAUCUAAAAAACGGAGCAGUUCAUGGUUAUACAAAAUUCAGAAUUUUUUUCACAUUAUUAAAGAAUGAAAACAAGAAGUUAAAAAAAGUUCAAAUUUUGAAAAUAGAGCUGUAAAAAAUAACUCUAGAAGUUCAAAACAAAGGGUUUUCACCGUUCCUAACACAAAAACUCUAGAAGUUCAAAUUUAUAUAACAGAUCGGUACAAUAUUUAUUAAGAAACUAGAAUUUUUCCAUUACUAAAACGAAUAUACCAAGAAGUCCAAAUUGUAAAACUAGGGCGGAUUGAUAUUAUAAAAAACUUCGAUUUUCCAUAUUACCAAAGAAAAAAAUCAAGAAGUUUAAAUUAAAAAAAGGAAGUAGUUCGAUGUAUACGGAAAAUCCAAAAUUCUUUCUAUUUCUAGGAUAAAUGAAAAUAUGAAGUUUGAUUUUUUCAAAAAAUCUACUUAUUUAGAAUUUUUUUCUAGAGAAUAGAACUAAGAAGUUCGAAUUAAAAUAAAAGAGAAGUCCAAAGAUUAUGAAAAACUCAGAUUUUUCUCGUUACUAAAGUAUAAAACGAAGAAGUUCAAAUUUAAAAAAGAACUACUAAAAAAAUUUAAAAAUAGAUUUUCCCCAUUUCUACAAAUCUAGAAGUUCAAACGAAAAUAACGAAGUGGUUCAAUGUUUAUUUAGAAACUAAGAUUUUACCGUUAUUAAAAUACUCAAAUAUCCCCUAGUAUUGAAGAAUCAACCAUGAAGUUCAAAUUGAAAAAAGAUUAAGAAAUAAAAUGAGGAAGUCCAUAUUAAAAAGAUGGAGAAGUUCGAUGAAUAUAAAAAACUCAGAUUUUCCUCGUUAUUAAAGAAUGGAAACAAGAACUUCAAAAAUAAAAUAACAAGAAAUUAAAAUUUUAAAAAUAGUGCACUUCAAAAUUUAUGAAAAAGAUUAAGAAAUAAAACCAGGAAGUCCUUAUUAAAAAGAUGGAGAAAGUUCGAUGAUUAUCGAAAACCCAGAUUUUCCUCGUUAUUAAAGAAUGUAAACAAGAAGUUCAAAAAUAAAAUAACAAGAAGUUCAACUUUUAAAAAUAGAGCGCUUCAAAAUUCAUAAAAAAGAUUAAGAAAUAAAACCAGGAAGUCCAUAUUAAAAAGAUGGAGAAGUUCGAUGAUUAUAGAAAACUCAGGUUUUCCUCGUUAUUAAAGAAUGGAAACAACAAGUUCAAAUAUAAAAUAACAAGAAGUUAAACUUUUAAAAAUAGAGCGCUUCAAAAUUCAUAAAAAAGGAUUAUCAGAUAAAUAUUCAUAAAAAACUCAGAUAUUUUCACGUAACCAAGAGAAGUUCAGAUUGAUAACUGCCAGAAGUUCACAUACUACACGGUGUGCAUUUUGUAUUAAAAAGGAAUCAAAAAGCAAAGACUAAAAGUUUUGUUGUUAUAAGUUCAACUGCUCGGAGAAAGUUAAAAAAAUUAUUGUGAGAGGGGUUUGUACAAAAGGAAUAUCAUUUGUCUAACACUAACGAAUGGAUGAGAAAAGUACAAACGAAAAUAUGUCACAGAAGUUCAACGUGAAAACAGCAGGAAGUUCAACUACUACACUGAACGAAUUUCGGAUGAAAAACUUUUAAACCAUCGCGAGUAUGAAAAAAUGAUCAACACGGGAAAGUUGCGUGUUUACAGCAGCUUUCCAUCGGUAUAUCACUUGCUCAAUUUCGGUGACUGGAUGGAGAGCUACGAACAAACAAAACACAUGAAAAACAGAGUGAAGUUCAAGUAGACAUGCCGAGAAGUUCAAGUUCUUCAUGCGGUGCAUUUUUGAAGAAUCUGUUUCGCGAUAAAGGCAGAAUGCAUGAUCUCGCCAUUUUCAAAAUUACUUGAAAAUGUCUAGGAAUCAAAGAAAACCAUCUACAUGAAAAAGUUUCGCAUUUUCCGGCUUUUCAACGGUAUAUUAUUUGCCCCAUUCCGAUAAAGUUUGUAGAAAUUACGGUAAAAAUACAUUUUAUCCAGUUUCAACAUAGACUUAAAAUCGUAAAGAAUUGGGAGAAAUAAUAUAAACCAAAAAGUUUUGCAUUUUUUCAAGCUUUCCAACGCCAUAUCAUUUGCUACAUUCGGACGUACGGUUAAAAAACUAACUUGAAAAUUCGAACCCGGUGGAACUCGAACCGUUUUCUAAAUUACUCUUAAACAGUUCAAAAUUAGAAAAAACUUUCAACAUGAAAAAGUAGCACAUUUUCAUAAGCUUUCCAACCCCAUAUCAUUUGCCUCAAUUGGAUUAGCCGUUUAGAAAUGGCAUAGAAUAUACCAACUCGGCUGUUCGAUUUGCAAAAUUUUAUGAUUUUUUAAAUUACUCUUUAACCAUAGAGAAUUAGAGAAAACUUUCAACAUGUGGAAGGAGCGGUUUUGCAGCAGCUUUCCAACACCAUAUUAUUUGCCUCAUUCCGAUAAACAGUUUAGAAUUGCAAUCAAAAAUAUGCUUCAUGUUUUUUGUAUGAAGAAAAAACGGUUUUCAAAACUGCUCUUAAACCGCUUACAUUUUGCCAAAAAUUUAACUUGGGUCAUGAUACUCGUGUUCAUAGCUUUUCAACGAUAUAUCACAAGCCCCGUUUGGGCAAUGUUGGCGGAAGUUCAACAUAGCAAUGGGGGAAGUUCGACAUACUACUACCGGGGCAGGUCAGGUUGUGAUCGGAAUAUUACUCACAUUGUCAAAGUGCCUAUGGUACCAGUUCAUAUUUGGUUACUCGAAGCCCAUGUAGAGGCACCUACGGCUCCGCCGGGCAGGUGCAUCAGCCUCUUCUUUCUAGUUUCCGACAGGGCUACCCGCACUAGCCUCUGACCUCUACUCCAAAACCUGAACUUCACAGAUCCGAAGCCUAAACCUUCACAUCAGAAUAGUGUUUAUGUGUGUGUGUGUGUGUAUGAGAGGAGGGGCGCCACAGAAGGGAGGGAAAGUCUGCUCCCUUGGCCAGCCAAGGAGGAGGGGGCUCCCCCUCCAAUCCGGCCUCCCUCUCCCCUUUCCAUGGGGAGAAGGGGCGCCACCCUUCUUGGGCCCAAGUGGCCCAAGAAGUUUCCACCACAUGGCCUUUUAAGGUCCGUUGAUAUUAAAUUAAAUAUAAAGGCCUUCUAAUAAUUAGUAGAGCCUUUUAUAUAUAAUUUAACAUCACCAGAAACAUUUUCCACCUAUAUAUUAUUUAUCGGGAAUACCCGGUAUUGCCCGAUAAACUGUGAAACCCUUUUGGUGACCCGAAAUGCUUCCGGUUCCUCUCGGAACUAUUCCGAAUAUUAAUGAAACAAAUCCACAAAUAAACCAUCGAUACUCUCGUCCUACUAACACUAAGCAGAUCGUGAUUACCUUAAGCUUGUGACCACAUUAAUCAUAGACAUGAAUGAAAGCCCUUCAUUCAAUAACCGAUAGCGGAACUGUGCAUGUCCAUAUCGAUCCCUAUGAUUACACGAAUGACAUUCGAGUGAACCUUUGGUUAUCAUGUGAUGUUCCCUUUUCUUCGUGAUACUUUACAAAACCCGAGGAGCGUUUUUAUCCUCCUGGGUCAUCCACAUGCUCACUAUACCGUCAUCCACAUUACCGGUUUUGCUCUUCUUUCUCGCUGAAGUGUUCCGGCAUCCCCGUGACAUAGUCACCUGUGUUUGGCCAGACGAUGAUGGAUGACAUCACACCGAUAGGGCCCUAAGAAUGUCUCUCCAUCAUCGGAGGAGCAAAUCCCACUCUCGAGCUAUCCAAUCCCUUGUUAAACUUUCCGAUGAACCUGUAAGUUGUGUUUAUGAUCACCGUGUUAUAGAUGACAUUUGAGCAAUCCCAAGGUCCACCGUACGGUAAGAAGUGGCUACGAUACUCUCAUGGUCUGAUGAACUAAAAACACAUGCUAACACUCCGUGUUAUAACAAUUGAUUUCAGACGAUAUUAUCUCAAAGUAUAACAAACAAGAUUGGGUCAAUUCAAUAUGAUCGUUCUUCUAACUUCAUACUCUCAAUGUUGUUUUAGGACUAUCGUUACACUGUAACAUCCCAAAAUUCUAAAUUUUGGAAUGUUAUAUUAAAUAAAUAGUUUUGAUUGUUUGUUUGAUUGUGGUGUGGUUGCUUGUAUGAAAUUGAGUGAAAUUUGAAACUUUUUGAAAGUUAAAUGAGCGGGAAUAAAAGGACUUUCCCAAACUUUCACCUUGCAUUUAUGACCUCCAUGAAUUCAAAUUCGUUUCAUCACAAAACCCUAGAAUGAAGAUGAUAUGACUUCUUCCAUUUAAUUAAAUGAAAAAAGGGGGGUUUGAAAGUAUUUGAAUUUCAUUUGGUAAUAUUUCAAAUUCGGAAACUUUAUGCAACUCAAUGAGUUUCAUGAGAGAAGAUAAAAUGACUUCUUCAAAUGCUAAGAAAGAGAGUUGGAAGUUUAAAAGAAUCAAAUUUAAAGUCCCUUUGAAAUUAUUUUCAAUUUCGAGUUAUUUGGUUUUUAUUCAAAUUAUUAUUCUCCAAAAAUAAAAUAUAUGGAAAAUAGGGUAAAAGGAUUCCCUACAUUAGAAAGUUGGAGAGAAAUGAGUUUCAAAUCAUUUUGGUAUUUUAAAAUAUUUUUAUUUGGUUUUUAAUUAAACCAGUAGCACUGUUUGCUUUAUUUAAAUUUUUGUGGAUUUUAUUUGACGCUAGAAAAAUAUUCAUGUUGUAGAAAAUCUUUUUCUGAAAAUUUUGAUAUAUAAUUUUUAUUAUUCUUCUAUUUAUUUUUAUUUUUGUCUGAGUAAAAAAAACUUUGCGGGCCGACCGAACUGGGCCGCGCCCAGCCCAGCCAGCCCAAGUCGCCGCCACCUCCGUCUGCGAGCUCGGGACGAAGUCCCGAGCGUGGCCGACACCGCCGCCGGACUCCUCCCCUGCCCCUUCCCCAAGUCGCUGCCGCCCCUCUCCGCCCCUUUAUAAGCCCCCCUUCUCUCCCUCAAGCCGGGCCUCCACCGCCGCACUCCGCCCGCGCCUUGCCUCGCCACAGCGUGGAGCUGCCGCUAGCCGGAGCCGCCGACGCCGCCAAACUCGCCGCCCGCGCCGUCCCACCUUGCCGAAGCCGUAGCCGCCGCAAACGACGACCCGCCGGCCGAUCCGCCCGAACCGGCCGAACCGGUAUAAACCGUCGACCCCGAUCCGGUUGUUUUUUCGUUUUCAGUUUUUCCUAUAAACCCGGUUUAUUAUUUAGUUUAGUUUAUUUAGUGAACGUUCUUUAGUUAGGUCGGUAGCGAAUGGUUUUCUUCUGUUAGGUCUCUAUAGCGAACGUUCGUUCGUUAGAUUUUUCUUCCCUGUUUAUUUUACACCAGGGACCCAGAUGCAAUUAGUUUAUUUACAAAUUAGCCCCUGUUUUUCAAACUAGCACAACUUUUUACUCGCUUGUCCAAAUCCAACGAAACCAACGCCCACAUCUUCGUUAUGAUCCCCUCUAUCCAGAGAACUUAUAAAAUAAACUUUUUGAAAUUUUAAAUUUUGAAUUAGAUCAGAUUUGAAUUCAAACUUGUUUUGGCUAUAACUUCAGUUUUGUAACUCCGAUUUAAUUGAUUCUUUUUGCAAAUCGAAGCUCUUGAUCUAAACUUUCUGUUGAGAACUAAUCCACAUAAGUUUAAUACUAUUGAAAAUUAUUUUCUGUUCGCAAGGGUUAUUUGCCUGUUUUUGAUGUUUUCUGAAGUAUUUUCUUUGCUCUUUUGGAUCUGUGAGUGAUUGCUUAUGUGUGGUUAUAAUUGCUUACUUACGAUAGAUUAAACGGAGUGUGCCGAGUAGAACUAUCAGGAAUUAUGAGUGUGAAGGAUUUUCAUCAACCGUACAAGGCAAGUUCACACUUUAAUCAUAUUUUUCAUACCCAAUUUUUAUGCAUUAGUUUCACCAUCAAAGAUUGCAUGAGUAGGAUUUGGGAAUAUGCGGGUAUUGCUAUGUAGUUGAUGAGGUAGGAACCUAUUACCUUUUUGUUUCACCCCAGGAUAUUCGUUAUGUCAAGUAUUGCUUAGCCAUGCUCGUAGACGUGGAUUGGUAUGUGAGAUUCAUGCAAGAUGAGAGAGAUAAAAUAAUUAAGGGUAACUUUAAGGUGGCAACAUUAACACACAUCUGGGUGGAUUGGUUGGGGCACCCUGGCGCACCCAGUGGUUUGCCCGGGCACCUGAAGAACCCAGUGCUUGCCCAAGGGGAUCCCGGAGUACCCGUGUGAUCACCCUAUGGAAUGCCACCCAGGCUCAAAGGGAUCAUAAGAUUAUUCAUGCUAGAAACUUCCGUGUGCAGCCACAAGCCAUUAUGGGCUCUGGCAUAGUUGAGUAUGUUGUGUGACCUCUUUCAGUGGUAGGCUAGCAGAUGUAGGGGAAAGUAGGUGGUACUGUCUACCCAGAGUAAAGAGUUAAUGCACGGAAAGACUGUGUCUCGAUCAUUCGUUUCUCAAACAUCAUGUAGUGCGAGAAAUUCAACAGAGGAGCUCGAGUCUUUUGGGGAAAAGUGCGCAAACCUCUGCAGAGUGUACAAAGUAAUCAUGGUUAGCUGUGUCCCCGGUUAUGGACAUCUUGAGUAUCUGGUAUUUGAAUUAUUGGUUGAUCUCAUCACGUUACUUAAUUAAUGUAUUGGGUUAUUAAUAAUUUGGGAUUGAGUUGGAGGAACCUUCUCAAUAACUGCAUCAACUUGGUAGAAAUAAAAUUUAUUCCUUUGUUGUAGGGAAAAAUUGGCUUUAUGCAAAAUUAAACUUAGAGCCUCCACCAGCCAAAUAUGCAUGUAUAGCUAUUAUUCAUCAUUGCUCUAUGGUGUAAAUUUUGCCAGUAUAUUUAAUGUACUGACCUACAUGGCUGCAACGUCUCAUGUUGCAGGAUUCUUACGACGAGUAAGUGAUACGUUAGGGUUACAAUGUCUACACUCAACUUUGUCGUUGGUGUUGUUGGGACUCCACAGCUUUGUUGUUACUUACGCUUUAUGGAUUGAGGUAAUAGUAUCUAUGUUACUUUAUACAUGUGAUUUACCUCUGUUAUAAAUCCUCGAGUAUUGUGUGUGUCAGCAUACCGAUCCAGGGAUGACACUUAAGCACAGAGACUUGAUCUAUUUGGGUCGGGUUGCUACAAGAUGGUCUCAGAGCACGUGUUGACUGUAGGACGUGACCCCUAGAAACUAGCAAGCCCAUAGGAAAGAUUUUCUCUAAAACUUUAUUUUCAAAAGAUCUUUUACCUCUCUUCUUUUCUGAGCUUUAUCAAAUAUUCCCUUUUAGUUAGACUAUGCCCCUUUCUCCUUUUGACCACACAAAGAUUUGACUGAUGAGACCACUCCAAGAAGUACAAGAUAUCGGACAACUAAGACCACUACGGAAUGAAGAAGAUUUUACUGUGCAUUAUAAUAAUGGAGACUACAACAGCUGAAGACUCUGAAGACUAGGAGAAUUUGAAGGCUCUGAAGAAUUUCCAGAUUGGUAUGACCUAGGAAGGCUACCCUUAUGGAACUUGUCAGACUAUAGAAGUUGUCAAUACCCGAGAUCAAGGUGUGUCGGAGAAAGACCGGAAAAUGGAGCAUUAAAACUCAAAGUUUUUGUCAAGAAAACCCCAAGGCAGGAGAUAUCAACUAUGGAAUGAUAGCUCAUGGCAGAGACAAGGGCAUAAACACAACUAUCCAUGAUGUUAUCGCCCGCUUAUGCUAUCAUCACCGUACUGAGUUAAACAUGCAUUUCUUCAGAAGGAUUGUAGAAGGCUAAUGGAGCACCUAUCAGCAAAAGAUGAAGUUUUAACCUUAGCUUGUGUAUCGCCAGGAUCUGGAGUAUUACAUCAAGAAUUUUAAGACGGACCUGCAAGAAGCCGUAUUUGACAAAGAAGCAUUUCAUGAAGAACUCAGGACCCAGAAGCUGAAAGUAGCCAAGCUGGAGGAGCACAACCUCGAGAUACCGGAGUCAGGAACUGAAGGACAGUCGGACCAUGGUUCAUGCCAAGGAUGUUGAAACCCAGAAGUUUGGAACGCAGCUCCAGAGUUAUUAAAGGACGUCACAAGAGACUUCGCGUCAAAAGAAAUGACCUAGCAGAAGAACUCGAGUAGGUCAAGCACGAUCGGAAGAAGCCCAUCGGAGACAUGAACAAGACUUGAAGAGUUUGGCGACUUUGAAGAUUUAUUGACCUUUAGAAGACCAAACCCCUGUUACAUACCUACGUUAGAUGCGACGAUUGUGAGCUGUCAUUUGUUUGAUGUUUUUCCGACUGCCACAAAAUAAAAUCUGUCUUUUCAAAAAAAUUGUUUGUAUUGUGUGUAUCCCUCUCUAUCUCUCUUAUCUCACCCCAAAAACCCUUGGAACCAAUAGAGGAUGAAUGGAGAUGAACUCAUAUUUUCUGGACCGAUGACUCAAUUGGAGACGGACUGAUGGAUUCAGAACAUGGAAGAUCACAUGAAGAAUAACACUAUAGCCGGAAAGGUUAUGACCCAGCAUGCUCUUUAGUGCUUUGGAAGCGGUGCUGCUACUUGGUGGAGGAUGUACCAAACCAUCAAUGGAUGGCAAAGAGUAACCACUUGGGAAGAAUUUAAGUUGACCCUGCUAAAGUCUCGGCUUGUGUCCCAAAAAUUGAAGCCUUAUGGAAAUGAUAUGAAGAAACCUUGUGCAUGCAAGCUCUGUGGAGAAAUAGGACACAACCAUAAAGAACACAAGGAUGAAUGCCCUCAUUGUGAAGAAAGUCACCCAGCUGAAGAAUGCCCAACUAGGCAGAUUACUUGUUUCUUGUGUGAAGGGACUACCCACUACCCUUCUCAGUGUCACAUUUACCCCAUAGUACAAAGAACCAUCCAGCAGAAGAAAGAAACAAUGAAAGGAGCCCUCAUGGAAAUUUUAGAAGAACCUGUGAAGAAGGAAGAGGUGGAGGACACACCCGAAGAAGACCCAAUUAAACCCUGCACCAAGUCUUGCUAUUCAUGUGGAGAAGAAGGACACAUCUCCCAGAAUUGUCUGAAGGGGGAUCUAGUAGCAUUUCCGACAGUGGAAGUAGAGUAUGACCCACAGGAAAUAGAAGCCCUGAUUGGCACGGAAAAGUCCAGGAAGAGAAAUAGAUUGGAUUCCAGGAACAACCCCAAUUUCUACAAAGGACCUGAGUCAUAUCACAUGUCUCGGGUGCAAAGAUUCAGGGCACUACUUCAACAGUUUCCCAAAAAGGAAGCUGAGGACCCAAGGAGGCUAUGUAAUCACAAGGAAACCUCAAGACUUGUCAGAAGUAAUAUGUUUCUGUUGUAAUGAAGGAGGGCACUUUGCCAGAGAUUGUCCCAAAGAGAAGGAGGAUAGUUGAGUUGGAAAAAGAAAAAUAGUAGUAGUAGUGGGAACAUUUCUUUUAUAUUGAGGUGUUGAGUUGAGGCAUGUAAUGGAAAUGCAGGAGAUUGUAAUAAUUUGAGAAUCAAUAAAGUUAGCAUCGUUGGUACUGAUUUGGAUUUUAUGAGUAGUUACUCUAUGAAGAAAGAUUUUGACCAUUUUCGAGGAUAUGAGAAAUAUGAUCUAUGGAUGAAUUUGUGCAUUUCAAGGGUGGUAGUACCCUAUGAGGACACUUGACCCCUGGAAAAGAUAAUGAUAUUCCACGGAGUGGACUUCGGACAAAAUAAGUACGAGUUUUAUCUCGAUAUGUGGGAUACCCCAAGAGUAUGAAGGGAUGAAGUACUAUUGGAUAUAGAGGAGGUAUAAUGUUGGUAAUAUGGAGCAAUUGUAACUCCAUGAUGAGUCUGAGUAAUCACGUCUUAGUUUGGUACCAAUAGAAGGAAGGGAGACAGUACAAUUGGAUGGAUUUAAGAAUGCUAGGAAGCUGGAUGUUGGAAUAAUGAUCAGUUGCCCCCGAUGAUGAGUUCAAGGUUUACAAUGUGAUGAGGUGAGCCCAUAACCCACAGGCUCCAGGACCUGCCAAGAAGCAAGCACACUCUUGCUGAGGGAAAAACCCUGGAAGAAGAUACGACUUUAUCAACAGACGAUCUUAUAGGAGUAACACAAAACCUGAGAGUUGUGAAGGAACGAUAGAUGUUUGUUUGGAUUGCAAAAUCCAUGGAUGUAUCCGAACUUGGUUCGUCAACAAGAGAAAUUCUGCAAUACUUGUGAGGAUGACCGAGUGUUAGAAUGCGAGAUUCGCUAAACCAUAUACAAGGUAAUGAUUUGGGUGCGGGAUGGAUUGAUCACCAUACCUACUUACUCUUAUUAUUCGCCUUGCUAUAUGGGAUGGUAAAUCUGAGUGACUUACCCAUAGUAGAGCGAUGACGAUCAAAACCUUGUUUAAACCUUAGAAUGGUAUGACAGUUGUUGCCAACCGUAGGUCAUACGGUGAGGUCCAACCCAGACCCUUUUCCUGUAGGAGAAACCAUAAAUUGUUGACCGCCAUGAGAUAUAGAUAGUUGUUUACUAUUGGCGCCAGACCUGUCAGCUAAGAAGACCCAGUCUCGGAAGAACCUUACCAAGAUGAAAGGACAAAAGAAUUGAGGAAAAGGUUAUGCCACUACCGGAAGAGUAGGAGUAGGAAUUUUCCCGAGAAUCUGAGAAGACCGGCACUGCCAACAAUAAGGAUAUAGUACCUGAGUUUUGAUGGAACCGUAACCAUGCUUCUAAGGGUGGUAGCACCCGAGACCUACGUGAUAAUUGCUCGAUUUUUUUAGGAGACCCCCGAACCUAACCUAUUCCUUUCUAGCCUCUCCGAAUCUCGAGGGCGAGAUUCAUUUUAAGGGUGGUAGGUUUGUAACAUCCCAAAAUUCUAAAUUUUGGAAUGUUAUAUUAAAUAAAUAGUUUUGAUUGUUUGUCUAAUUGUGGUGUGGUUGCUUGUGUGAAAUUGAGUGAAAUUUGAAACUUUUUGAAAGUUAAAUGAGAGGGAAUAAAAGGACUUUCCCAAACUUUCACCUUGCAUUUAUGACCUCCAUGAAUUCAAAUUUGUUUCAUCACAAAACCCUAGAGUGAAGAUGAUAUGACUUCUUCCAUUUUAUUACAUGAAAAAAGGGUUUUUAAAAUAUUUGAAUUUCCUUUGGAAAUAUUUCAAAUUCGGAAACUUUAUGCAACUCAAUGAGUUUCAUGAGAGAAGAUAAAAUGACUUCUUCAAAUGCUAAGAAAGAGAGUUGGAAGUUUAAAAGAAUCAAAUGUAAAGUCCCUUUGAAAUUAUUUUCAAUUUGGAGUUAUUUGGUUUUUAUUCAAACUAUUUUUCUCCAAAAAUAAAAUAUAUGGAAAAUAGGCUAAAAUGAUUCCCUACAUUAGAAAAUUGGAGAGAAAUGAGUUUGAAAUCAUUUUGGUAUUUUAAAAUAUUUUUAUUUGGUUUUAAUUAAACCAGUAGCACUAUUUGCUUUAUUUAAAUUUUUGUGGAUUUUAUUUGACGCUAGAAAAAUGUUCAUGUUGUAGAAAAUCUUUUUCUGAAAAUUUGAUAUAUAAUAUGCUAUAUAUAAUUUUUAUUAUUCUUCUAAUUUUUUUGUCUAUGUAAAAAAAACUUUUCGGGCCGACCGAACUGGGCCGCGCCCAGCCCAGCCGGCCCAAGUCACAGCCGCCUCCGCCUCCGAGCUCGGGACUUCGUCCCGAGCGUGGCCGACACUGCCGCCGCCUCCGUGCCGCCGCCGGACUACUCCCCUGCCCCUUCCCCAAGUCGCCGCCGCCCCCUCUCCGCCCCUUUAUAAGCCGCACCCCUCCCUCNNNNNNNNNNNNNNNNNNNNNNNNNNNNNNNNNNNNNNNNNNNNNNNNNNNNNNNNNNNNNNNNNNNNNNNNNNNNNNNNNNNNNNNNNNNNNNNNNNNNNNNNNNNNNNNNNNNNNNNNNNNNNNNNNNNNNNNNNNNNNNNNNNNNNNNNNNNNNNNNNNNNNNNNNNNNNNNNNNNNNNNNNNNNNNNNNNNNNNNNNNNNNNNNNNNNNNNNNNNNNNNNNNNNNNNNNNNNNNNNNNNNNNNNNNNNNNNNNNNNNNNNNNNNNNNNNNNNNNNNNNNNNNNNNNNNNNNNNNNNNNNNNNNNNNNNNNNNNNNNNNNNNNNNNNNNNNNNNNNNNNNNNNNNNNNNCCCGCCUCGCCGCUGACGCCGUAGCGCUGCCGACGACGACCCGCCGGCCGAUCCGCCCGAACCGGUAUAAACCGUCGACCCCGAUCCGGUUGUUUUUUGUUUUCGGUUUUUCCUAUAAACCCGAUUUAUUAUUUAGUUUAGUUUAUUUAGUGAACGUUCUUUAGUUAGGGUUCAGUAGCGAAAGGUUUUCGUUUGUUAGGUCUCUGUAGUGAACGUUCAUUCGUUAGAUUUUUCUUUUUCUGUUUAUUUUAUGCCAGGGACCCAGAUGAAAUUAGUUUAUUUACAUAUUAGCCCCUGUUUUUCAAACUAGCACAACUUUUUACUCGCUUGUACAAAUCCAACGAAACCAAUGCCCACUUCUUCAUUAUGAUCCCCUCUGUCCAGAGAACUUAUAAAAUAAACUUUUUGAAAUUUGAAAACUUGAAUUAAAUCAUAUUUGUAUUCAAACUUGUUUUGGCUAUAACUUGAGUUUUAUAACUCUGAUUUAAUUGAUUCUUUUUGCAAAUCGAAGCUCUUGAUCUAAACUUUCUGUUAAGAACUAAUCCACAUAAGUUUAAUACUGUUUAAAACUGUUUUCUGUUCGCAAGGGUUAUUUGCCUGUUUUUGAAGUUUUCCGAAGUAUUUUCUUUGCUCUUUUGGAUCUUUGAGUGAUUGCUUAUGUGUGCUUAUAAUUGCUUGCUUACGAUAGAUUGAACGGAGUGUGACGAGUAGAACUAUCAGGAAUUGUGAGUGCGAAGGAUCUUCAUCAACCGUACAAGGCAGGUUCACACUUUGAUCAUAUUUUUCAUACCCGGUUUUUAUGCAUUAGUUUCACCCUCAAAGAUUGCAUGAGUAGGAUUUGGGAAUAUGCGGGUAUUGCUAUGUAGUUGAAGAGGUAGAAACCUAUUACCUUUUUGUUUCACCCCAGGAUAUUCGUUAUGUCAAAUAUUGCUUAGCCAUGCUCGUAGACGUGGAUUGGUAUGUGAGAUUCAUGCAAGAUGAGAGAGAUAAAAUAACUAAGGGUAACUUUAAGGUGGCAACAUUAACAUACAUCUGGGUGGAUUGGUUGGGGCACCCUAGAGCACCCAGUGGUUUGCCUGGGCACCUGGAGAACCCACUGCUUGCCCAAGGGGAUCCCGGAGUACCCGUGUGAUCACCCUAUGGAAUGCCACCCAGGCUCAAAGGGAUCAUAAGAUUAUUCAUGCUAGAAACUUCCGUGUGCAGCCACAAGCCAUUAUGGGCUCUGGCAUAGUUGAGUAUGUUGUGUGACCUCUUUCAAUGGUAGGCUAGCAGAUGUAGGGGAAAGUAGGUGGUACUGUCUACCCAGAGUAAGGAGUUAAUGCUUCGGAAAGACUGUGUCUCGAUCAUCCGUUUCACAAACAUCAUGUAGUGCGAGAAAUUCAACAGAGGAGAUCGGGUCUUGUGGGGAAAAGUGCGCAAACCUCUGCAGAGUGUACAAUUUGAAUUAUUGGUUGAUCUCAUCACGUUACUUAAUUAAUGUAUUGGGUUAUUAAUAAUUUGGGAUUGAGUUGGAGGAACCUUCUCAAUAACGGCAUCAACUUGGUAGAAAAAUAAAAUUUAUUCCUUUGUUGUAGGGAAAAAUUGGCUUUAUGCAACAUUAAACUUAGAGCCUCCACCAGCCAAAUAUGCAUGUAGUGAUAGCUAUUAGUGAUCAUUGCUCUAUGGUGUGAAUUUUGCCAGUACAUUCAAUGUACUGACCUACAUGGCUGAAAUGUCUCAUGUUGCAGGAUUCUUACGACGAGUAAGUGAUACGUUAGGGUUACGAUGUCUACACUCAACUUUGUCGUUGGUGUUGUUGGUACUCCACAGCUUUGUUGUUACUUCCGCUUUAUGGAUUGAGGUAAUAGUAUCUACGUUACUUUAUACAUGUGAUUUACCUUUGUUAUAAAUCCUCGAGUACUGUGUGUGUCAGCAUACCGAUCCAAGGAUGACACUUAAGCACAGAGACUUGAUCCAUGUGGGUCGGGUUGGUACAUACACUUAACGAUAUCCUAAGAUCCGAAAAACAUGAUCACCAACAACACUUGAGCCGGUCUUAGAGGCAAGACCGGGAACCUAUUCUUUAUCUUUAUCAUUCCAUACAUGCAUAUGAGUUUUCCACUGAAUCGCAUAUUCUAGGAUCACAGCAGUUAUAGCAUGAAAUAUAAACUCUUAAUUAUGAACAAGGAAAAAAGAAUAGUACAAAUAUUAUUGCCUCUAGGGCAUAUUUCCAAAGGACCAUCUGCAUAACUCAUGAAUACGUAGGGAAAUAUUAUCAUCACAUAAUUGCCUCUAAGGCACAUCUCCAUUGGCCUAGGUAGUCGCAUGCACAUCCAAGCAUGCUAAAUAUAGAUCCCCAAGUCCUGGUUGGGCUGCAUGCGACCUACCAAAAUCACAACCAUAUAAGAUGAGUUGUACAAAAUUCGCUACUGCAUUUUAUUUCUAUAUUGAUGGAAAUGAAUGUGUGGAAUCCCAAUCCGGUGUAAUUCUGAUACCAUGUGGCAGACAAUUGGUUAGAGGAGGAGAACGACCAACUCACGGCACUAUGUCAUCGCCUUGAUUGUCGUGCCUGUUCGGUGUGUGAUGUCCCUCAGGGUAGAAUGCUUUUGCCCUUCCUUUUCUGCUAUAUAAAUACCAAGUAGCGAGUGAAGCAUGGAGAGCUAUCCUCUGUCACUCAAAGAGUAUCGCAAUGGUCUCUUCAGCUUCCACCAUGGACAACAUUGUUAGUGACUAUCGCCACCAUCUCUGGCGGUGCACGCUAAUGUCGUUGUAGUUCAGAACCCUAUCCUCGGUGGUACUUGUCAAACUUAGAGAGAUGGGGCACGGGCAAGAGCAGGGGAUCGUUCCCGCAGUCGACCCCUUACUCCUGUUGUCCCCCUGUCGACCCGCACUGUGAAUGAGGCCGAGGAACUUUUGUGGGCACUUCUCUACGCCACAUUGCUGGGGGAAGAAGAAGUGUGCUCGUGUCGAGGUGGGUCGAUCUUCUAUAGUGGAAGGGCAUCGUCUGCACAAUCUAAGAUGGUCGGAGUACUUCGAAAGAGAGUGUUGUCGCAAGGCCUUGUAGGCCGCCAGUUCCGAGCAGCUGGAGGCUGCUCGCAGGUAUGGAAAAUUCAUGGAGUAUCUAGCUAUGCUAGAAGGAGAUGUCGUUGCGAAUGCCGACACCAUGUGCAUGCCCUUUGGAUGUGCUCAAUGUGCAAGGGACCACCUUCCUUCCUACCCUUCGAAGGAAGAGGGGGCCGGCAGGCCGGGGAGCGUGCUUCUUUGGUGUUGUCUUUGGAAGGAACAAAAGAGGAAAAAUAACAUGAUUGAGCUCCCUGUUUGUUGGUGCGGAUUAUUUUGUAAAGUUGUGGCUUGAGCAAGUUGUACGACAGUUGUUUUUAUGUGUUUAUCUUCCAUGUUCUUUUAUACUAAUAUAUCAAGCACCACUCAAAAAUUCCUACAAGUGCUCAAAAUAUUUCUGAAAGGCUUCAUGGAUGAUUCUGAAAGUUAUCGGUGUACUAUGUUGAUAGUGGUUUCGAAUAACUUUGAAAGUGCUAAGACUAUUUUCUUAACUUAAAAUAGUAGGAGAGGACCCUACUAUGUUAUAUUAAGUAACAAGGAAUAUUUACAUGAGUGGGAGACAAUUAUCCCCAUGAGAUAGAAAGAUAAGAAGGAAGCAAAACCAAGAGUUUAAAGUGAGUUUACAACAUAAGUGAUGUAGUCACUCAGAUGAGGGGACACCCAAAAUUUUAACCAGAGUAGAUCAUACUUAGUUCUUUCUAGCCAAGCUCUAUGUGUAGGUCUGAUCUGGUUGAAGAUAAAGUUGCUUCGCUCUUUCCAGAUAUUCCAGGCAGUGGUAGUGAAAAUCUCAAAGAAAAGCCUACCAUAGUAGUUUUCCUUUGCCCUUUUAGUGGCCUCAAUCCUAGAGGUGUCGGAAGUGCACGGUAUAGCAAUUUUUUCCCAACAAUUUUUGCUAAAAGGGCAAGAAAAUACCAAGUGUUCAAUGGUCUCUUCAUCCCCCGUCAUGCAUAGCACACAUAUAUCAUUGUUGGUCACCUAAAAAUGUCUUCUUUUGAGCAUGUUCCUUAUGUUCAAUCUGUCUGCUAAAAGAAGCCACAUGAAAAAAAUUAGUUUCAUUUGAAGUUUGGAUUUCCAAAUCAAGGCUCAUCACAUAUGUAUGUUUAUGAUAGUGCAUGUAGAAUUCAUUGGCCGAGAAAACAAGACCCCAAGGAUAUCUCAAGCGAUAAAAAGUUCCUGAAUCAUGUAAAUGUUGCGGCUUAAAAUUUUCAAUAGUUUGCAGCUCAUUGUGGGCCUCGGUUGAAAGUGGAAAACUAAAUAAUAUACUUGGAAUAAUGGCCUGAUAAAAAUACGAACUCAGAUAUCCGCAUUCUUGGUAUAUGAAUAAAUUCAUGGAAAAUUUUCAGAUAGAACCUGCUCAUUCCAGUUGUCGUGCCACAUAGAUACAUUUAAACCAUUAUCCACUUUACAGUUGGCGAUUACUAUGCAAAUAGGCAUAAGAUUGACCAAGGUGCGCCACAAAAAAGAGUCGCACUUAGGGAGAGCAUUAGAACAGUACCUGUUGAGUAUAACUACCAAAGUAAAUUUACCUAUUGGAGAUCAACAUGGUUAUAGAACUUGUCCAAAAACUUGAAUAGAAGAGAUUGAUUAUGGACUUUAAUAUUGAUCACCCCUAGUCUUCCAUUAACCUUAGGACAACAUACUCUUUCCCAAGCAACCAAGGAAUUACAAGAUUCUCCUUGUUCGGAUUUCUAAGCCCAUAAACAUCUCCUCCAGAUUUUGUCAAAAGUUUCAAUGAAUUUGACCGACAGCUCAAUGGUGCAAGACGCAAACGUGAUCAUGGAUGAAAGUGCUAAAACUAUUUCUACAAGUGUUGAUAGUAUUUUGUGUUAAAAACAUUCCACACCUAUUUUACAUAAACCCCAUGUGUUUAUACAUGAAUACCACAUAUUUUAUUUUCCCACACAUAAGCUAAUAUAAGUAGGAACACUUAUUGAAGAAUGGAAUUAAUAAAUAAAAUACAAACCACGUGUUGAUCUAACCAAACACAGGAAGAACAUGGACCCUAAAUUAAACUAACACAAUGAUUCAACAUAGACAUCUAACUAGUAGUAGUUCACCACAGGUAGUUUCCCUUUCGGUGCUUGUAGCCGAUUCACCAUCCCUGAUAUGGACAUGACCCGUGCUGAUAUAACCACAGUUAUUACGCGUAAAGAUAAUUAUCAGGUGAAUUCUAAUAGAAAUUAUAUGAAUUAUUAUUUUGUUAUCCGAAACAAAAAUACAACACAAUAUUUUAUAUGCAAGAUUAAAGAAGACAUGCACAAACCUCGGGUGAAGAUGCGAAGUUUAAUACAGAAGAUUUACACUUGAAUAUUAUCAAAUCAACAUGCAUCCAGUGGCCAAGGGCAUACGAACAUGCAAUCCAUCUCAUUUUGUUAUGCAUGUCAUGGUGGGGCCCAUAUGCAUGCACGUGACCAGACCACAUGCAUGGGCUAAUUUUUUUUAAAUAAUACAUUUUUUAUUAAAUUACAGAAAUAUUACGCUGAAAAAAUAAUUUUCAAAAAUAAUACACCGUCGGCCCGCUGCAGGCCGACUGAGCCUAGUCAGCCCACAGCAGGCCGACUGGUGGCCCAUCUGCUUGCUGCUGGCCGAUUGGGCUGUCGGCCACCAGAUCAAGUCCAGUUGGCCUGCAGUUGGCCGACAGGGUCCAGUCGGCCUGCAGUUGGCCGAUAGGCCUGCAGUGGGCCGACUAGGCUCAGUUGGCCUGCUGUGGGCCGACUGGUGCAUGCCACCAUUUUUUNNNNNNNNNNNNNNNNNNNNNNNNNNNNNNNNNNNNNNNNNNNNNNNNNNNNNNNNNNNNNNNNNNNNNNNNNNNNNNNNNNNNNNNNNNNNNNNNNNNNNNNNNNNNNNNNNNNNNNNNNNNNNNNNNNNNNNNNNNNNNNNNNNNNNNNNNNNNNNNNNNNNNNNNNNNNNNNNNNNNNNNNNNNNNNNNNNNNNNNNNNNNNNNNNNNNNNNNNNNNNNNNNNNNNNNNNNNNNNNNNNNNNNNNNNNNNNNNNNNNNNNNNNNNNNNNNNNNNNNNNNNNNNNNNNNNNNNNNNNNNNNNNNNNNNNNNNNNNNNNNNNNNNNNNNNACUAUUUCCCGCCACCCGUUUCCCGCCACCCAUUUCCUGCCAACCCUUUCCCGCCAUACCGCAGUCGUUCUUUCCCGCCAUAUGUUCGCACCAACUAUUUCCCGCCACCCGUUUCCCGCCACCCGUUUCCCGCCAACCCUUUCCCGCCAUACCGCAGUCGUUCUUUCCCGCCAUUUUCUCCUCUCUACCUAUAAAACCCCCUUCAGACGGAGGUGGAUAAGCAUUGCAGUGUAGUGUAGUUGAGAUGUCCCAUUAUCCUUUCGAUCGUAGUUUUCACCCUGGGAUGAGCAGGACUCUUCUGAGGCUAGCUACCGAUUUCAUGAUGGAUAAUAGGAUAGUUCCAUGGGACGAACUCACCGGUAGUGACACCAUAAUGAAUGAGUUGGCUCACCAAUUACGUAGGUCUGGGUGGCCUGAAAGGACCUAUGAGGAGGUACGUAAAGAACUUCUUAGGUUGCAUGACAGGUGGAAGAAGGUAGUGGUGCCGAAGAGUGAAACUUUCAGAAGGAUUGCAGCAAAUAAUCCAUUUUUAUGGACUGAGGAGAGCGAGGACGAAGAUGAUAUCUUCAUGCCGCCGCUUCCGGGUUCUGCAUCGUCGAAGGGCAAGAGUUCUUCAUCAUCGAAGGGCAAGGUUUCUGCAUCGUCGAAGGGCAAGAGUUCUUCAUCGUCGAAGGGCAAGAGUUCUGCAUCGAUCGAGGAUGACGAUGAUGACUUCAUGUAGUUUUUAUGUUGUAUGUUGUGAGUUCAGUUACGUACCAUUUAAUUUAGAUGUAGUUCUAUCUAGUUGUUUGUAAUGUCUCGUGUAUGAAUAUUAUGUUCUAUCUUAAUAUGAUCUUGUAGUUUGGAUAACAGAGUACUAAAAUAGAGUAGGCAUAUGUCUCGUACAUAAGAACAUAGUCAUUUGUCUCAUACAUAGAAUAGACAUAAGUCUCACAUAGAAAUAGAUGGUAAUGUCUCUACUGAUAGAUAGAAGCGUCAGUGACGACGUCUGGCCUGGCGGAGAGGCGGAUCUCGAAUGACAAAUUCAUCACAUAUAACUCGGUUUCCUGUAGCAAUGCAACUCAACAACCCUUUUCCAUUCCCAUUCACUCAGCAUUUCUUGAAUCUUGCCAUCAUCAGUUAUGUCAAUCAAUUUUCUUUCCCCAGGGCCAUCUAACUGCUUCCUCCUGACGUAGUACACAAAAUCGUCUUCCUUCAACCCUUGCUUCAACAUGAAUUUAGUCUUCAACCAAUCAAAAGUGAGGUCCACUUCACUAACUUGUACAACACUUGGAGAAAAGCCUUGGACAUGAACAAUAGGGCUAAGCACCCACUGAGUACCCUUAGCCAUCUGCAACACACAAAUCGCAUUGAGUACCUAACCUACCCCUUAGCCAUACUACCGGAGCACCUACGAAAAAUAAAAUGUGGGCUGAAAUAUACCUUUGAAGCGUGCGUGCGAACGAAGAACGACGAACGGCGGCCACCAAACUGCCGGUGCUCCGCGUCCAACGAAGAACGACGAACAACAGCUUCACCUCCACCACACUGCCCCAACUUCACCACCACCACACUACAAUGCUUAUCCACCUCCGUCUGAAGGGGGUUUUAUAGGUAGAGAGGAGAAAAUGGCGGGAAAGAACGAGUGCGGUAUGGCGGGAAAGGGUUGGCGGGAAACGGGUGGCGGGAAAUAGUUGGCGCGAACAUAUGGCGGGAAAGGGUUCGUCAUCAUCGAAGGGCAAGGUUUCUGCAUCGUCGAAGGGCAAGAGUUCUUCAUCAUCGAAGGUCAAGAGUUCUGCAUCGAUCGAGGAUGACGAUGAUGACUUCAUGUAGUUUUUAUGCUGUAUGUUGUGAGUUCAGUUACGUACCAUUUAAUUUAGAUGUAGUUCUAUCUAGUUGUUUGUAAUGUCUCGUUGUAUGAAUAUUAUGUUCUAUCUAAAUAUGAUCUUGUAGUUCAGAUAACAGAGUACUAAAAUAGAGUAGGCAUAUGUCUCGUACAUAAGUACAUAGUCAUUUGUCUCAUACAUAGAAUAGACAUAAGUCUCACACAGAAAUAGAUGGUAAUGUCUCUACUGAUAGAUAGAAGCGUCAGUGACGACGUCUGGCCUGGCGGGGAGGCGGAUCUGGAAGCGGCGACCAUCCCAACCUGUCGGGUGCCCUAAUGUGACGAGGAGGAAUCUCAGACUCUCCCUGGUCAUGCUGUGUAUCCUGUGUGGGGCCUGGUGGAGGAGUCGAAAACAUGUUCAUCCACUGGGUGUGCUGCGACAUCUGAGCCUGUAUGUUCUCCUCGGGAUGUUGAUCACUCCCCCACGUAUCAUGUGAUGCCGACAUAGACGCCUGAUAUCCAUAGGCUCCUACGCGAUGGAACGUUUCAUCAUGAAGAAUGAGGUCGCGUCAAUUAAUAUUGAAAACAAUAAAUAUGAAGACACAUACCUGCUGGCUGUGACGUCUGCUCUGGCUCAAACACGAAACUGGACGAGGGACCGUGCUGCUGUGGCUGUGGAGAUAACACGAAGCUCGACGAGGGACCGUGUUGCUGUGGCUGUGGAGAAAACACGAAGCUCGACGUGGGACCAUAGUGCUGCGGGUGCCACGUAGAACUACCAGGUUGGUCAGGACGGGGUGGCCUGGUUGUCGGCUGAUGUGCUAGACGUGGACGUGGUUCAUGUCGGUGCAUGGAGUGACGCGGCUGCUCCUGCUGGUGCUGAACAACAUCGGUUCUCCGGGUGCACGUGAUAGCCUCGUACACAGUCCGUAUCUUAUUCUGAAUUCUUUCGAAGAAGGGCUGUAGCACUGGACGAUGCUGAAGAAGAGGUCCAGACGAUAGUGAUCGUCCAAAGGUGGUCACGUCGUAGAGUUCGCGUGUCAAGGUAGCCUGCAAAUUUCCAUGACGAUUAAUAAUGUCUGUCUCUUGCACGUCAAAGUAUGUGACAACAUUAUGUAAAGAAAAUAUAUCUUAUCGCGUACUUCCUAGAGCCCGAAGUAUCAUAGCUCGGGUACAUAUCCGACGGAGUAGGAUCCAGUAUCUCCUCUGGGUGGGAGUACUCAACAAUGCGUAACCGUGUUCCGGUCAUGUAGCGCCGCAAAUAGAGAUUGAAUUCAUCGAGAUCGAAAUUGUGAUUCUCGUGCCAUAGAUUUGUGUUUGUUGUCUCCCAUUCUAUAACAUACGGCUCUAGUCUAACUAGCCAGUCAGCAGUAGUCCUGGUCAUGCCCUUCCUUGUCGUCCUAAAAUUGUGGUGUGUGUUCAACAAUUACCUAAAGCUUCGAAUGGAGUACUAUGAAAGAUAAUGCAACAUUGAAAAACUGGUUAAUACCUGUGGAUGUGUGCUGGCACCGGGUUCUCUAUAGGGGGAGGUAGCUCCAACUGCAGAAGACCAAAUUGCCUCAUAACCCUCUGUUGUGCCAUCUCCUCGACGAAGACAUCGAAGAUGAUCUUAGAUUUUUUCAUCCAGUAAUCUCGGUCCCUUGUGCAUAGCACAGACAUACCACCAGGGUAUCUUGUUUGUAUGGCUGCUUCCGUGUAGGGCUGCCAGAUGACCCCGGUGUACGCAUUGAACUGCUCGUUCAAUGCUGUGUAUGCCUUCCUGGUCUGAUCACUAGCAAAGCGUCUCUGCAGAGGAGAAGAAAAGUUAGUAGCCGCUAGCAUCGAACUAUCUCUUGUGCAGAAAAAAGUUGCAUUAAACUACAACACGGUGCGCCAUACCUCGCGACGUGUCCAACACAGACCGAAAGUAGGCAUGUCGAUGUCGUCAACAUCAAACAUGGCGUCUAUAGGCUCAUGAACACGUACAUCUGGUCACCCUAUAGAGAACCUCUCCCACGACCACAGCUGUAGGAAUAGAGGGCAUCCAAGAAGGGCUGGCUUUCUCGAUGUAAGCUGGCAACUGUUGCACAUACCUCGGUAUGUAGCCGCUAAGACCGCCGAACCCCAACUCCUCUGUCCGAUCUAAUCCGCCGUCUGAGCGCUCGCUAUCUCGAGUGCCAUAUGGAUGUAGAGGGCGCUAAUAGUGGUGACAUGGUUCUCCGUGAACAUCACCUUGCCGAAAAGCCACAGUAAGUAGGCCUCCAGGCUCCGAGUGAUCUGUUCCGCAGUCAACGGCGCCCGGAAGUUCUGGAUCUGCAUUAAGCGAAGAGAAAGUAUUAGUAAGCAGCAAUUAUUUUCUGUAAAACUGUAUGCACGAUAAUUGAAGAUAAUAGGUAGGGGAAAUUACCCGGAAAUUCAGCAACCACUCAUACUUAGGUCCGUGAUGCUCCCAUACCGGAUCCGGAGCAUCCGGAAAAACACCAUGAAAACGUUGUGUAAGAGCUCGCUCCCAACCAGCCGGUGCGUCCAACGGUCCUACGGCAUGACCUGCCAACGGUAGUCCGAGCAAAAGUGACACAUCCUCCAGAGUAGGAGCCAUCUCUCCCCAUCUGAAGUGAAACGUGUGGGUCUCUGGCCUCCAACGGUCCACUAAGCAGCUCAGCAAAGACCCAUCGAUGGCGAGGCAUUUCUCACCCGGGAUAGACUCAACCAGACGCGCGAAAGGUAAAAGGCCGGCCCAUUUCAACCUUCAUCAGAGAACUUUUCAGUUAGUGUCUCCCAUUUCAACCAUUAAUAUGCAUGUCAGUGUGCAAAUUAAUAAAGCACGUACCGCUGAAGCCAUCCUGAGUGUAUCUUCCAGUUUUCCUUAGGAGUGCGAGUGACCAGAGGCUCAAGCUUGCGCUCAUACCAUAUCGCAGCACGAUGACCCCUAUCAAUGUCCCCAUUCAGCAACCACAAUCCCGACAUUCUUGCACAUACAAAAUUCAGAACAUAGUGUCACACUUAAUAAAAAUUCAGAACAUAGUGUCACACUUAUUACAAAUUCAGAACAUAGUGCCACACUUAAUAAAAAUUCAGAACAUACUGCCACACUUAAUACAAAUUCAGAACAUAGUGCCACACUUAAUACAAAUUCAGAACAUAGUGCCACACUUAAUACAAAUUCAGAACAUAGUGCCACACUUAAUACAAAUUCAGAACAUACUACUGCUAGCUUAGCUUCUUCCUCUCGCCCUUACUCCUCUACUGCCUCUACCUCCUCUUCUUCCCCGGUUGCCUCGUCCAUGCCCAGUGACGAAAGUGGGACAAUUAGUGUCCCUAUGGCCAAAUUCAUUGCAUAGAAUGCAUUGCCUAGUCGGAUCUCCUGCUUCAGAUUCAUCCAUAUCAUUUCGGAUGCGGUGACACUGUCGUCUGCCUCUACUUGUACGCAUAUGCUCUGGGUUUGUAAUGUAACGCCUUUCGGCGGGGUUGACGCUGUUGAAAUUACCCAUUGAUCGAAAACCCAUCAGCUCACCUGUCCAGGUAUUGAGGACAGACUCUUUCAGAAAAAAUGGAGACACAAACGAUAUUGCGUCCAUUCCAAGCUGCCCGCAAGCAGCAAGUACAUGUGAGCAAGGUAGGUGAAGCAAUUUCAGUUUAUUGCAUGUGCACUCACACGUUGGCCAGGCUUCAUUGCCAAUUUUCACCUCAUGCGUCCUCAACUCAUUUGCACAUCCGAAUUUGUUGUUGGCUAAGCGGACCUCAAACCUUCUUUCUUGAUUACCGAUGGCGACUACAGUGUGUGACCUAGCUUUUUGCAUCUUGUUGUCCAUGUACUUCGUGACUCUUUCACAGUACCGUGUAUUUGGGUUGUUCAAGAUAUGCUGCUCUGCUUUUUGACGUCUGUCUCUGAAAUACUUGACGGUGCCAUAGAAAAUACCCUCAACGAUGGCUGUAAGUGGCAAUGCCCGGUUUCCUCUGAGGACAAAGUUGUAUGUUUCCGCGAGGUUCGUUGUCAUGACACCGUACCUUGCUCCAUGUGUGUCAUGUAGCAAAGACCACCUCUCCAGAGGCUCAUGCUCUAUCCACUGCUUGAAGGUUUUAAUCGACCUCCCGAGCCUUCUCCUAGUACCAGGUGGGUCAAAGCCUGGCAGGUCACAUAGCCCAACAGGCUCCUCCUCCACGGCCGCUGUUCCUGUUGCCAACUGUGCAGCUACUGCUUCAACAUGUGCCCUCACCGCUGCAUCUCUUGCAGCUUUCCUGUCCCUCACGUGUCUCUGCGUGCACACAUUAAGUCUGUCGCGUAUCAAAUUGUACUUCCAUAACUGGUUCUGCUUGCAGAGUUUUUUGAACAGAUUCAUCAGGUUCUUAUUUCUAAACUGCGAGAAGAAAUUAGCCCCCAGAUGGCGCAUGCACCAACGGCUCUGCAAGUCCUGCCAUGGAACUUGUUCCUCAGGGCCUGGGUUUGUCAGUGUCCUUAUCGCACUGAGUAUACCUGCAUGCCUGUCAUGAAGGAUGCACACAUUGGGCUUCUCCUUCACAACUGAUAUUUUCAACUGCCUGAAGAACCAUGUCCAACUUUCAAUGUUCUCACUCUCCACAAAGCAAAUGCCAGUGGGACGACUUGAUUUUGGCCGUCUUGACCUAUGGCUGUCAGGAUCUGACCCUUGUACUUGCCUGUGAGAAAAGUACCGUCAACACAUAUCACCGGUCGGCAAUGCCUGAAAGCUUCAAUGCAUACACCGAAAGAGAAGAAGAGACGAUGCAACACCCUCACAGUUGGGAACUCUGGCAUGAACAUGUCUUGGAUAUCGAUAUAGGUGCCUGGAUUCCGCUGCUACAGGGUGUGGAGGAGGUGGACAACAGAGUCAUAUGCAUCAAAAUAAGAACCAAAUCUCCUCUCAAGCGCCGCAUGCUUAGCCCUGCAAGCCUUGCCAUAAGAAAUUCUGUACUUGAACCUGGCGAAGACUUUUGUCUGGACUGCCUUCACUUCCAUAGCUUUGCCCUGCAUCUCAUCGUAAAACAAUCGAGCAAUAAGCGUGGAUGAAAGGUUGGCAUGAUCUUGAGGGAUGCAGGGAAUAAGACAAGUGUGAUUAACUAAGUCACUUAUCACCCAACUUGUGCCAUACUUAGGGAGAAAGCCGUGCACCCUGGCGGGACAAUCUGCGUUCUUGCAUACCAUUGUCAGGAAUUUCUGACUGGACACCUGAGCUGUGAAAACCCUUUGCGUGGACAUUGCCCAAUUAAUUAUUGCAUCCUUCAGGGCUUGCUUGUUCGGAUACAUAGCACCCGUCGCAAUAUUGUUCUGGUGAUAUUGCCAGGCUGAAUCAUGUCCAUCAUUCACGGUCAUUGCAGAUGAUAAGUCAUGAUUCCACCAUGCAGGAUUCGGGACCUCCUCUGCAUUUUCUUCUUCAUCUGACUCGUCAGAAUCAUCGGCAUGACCCCUUUCAACAUCGGUGUCUUCUUCUUCCAUCUGGUUCUGCAUGUGCCCAUCUACCUCGUCAGCAUCCACCUCGCCAUUGUAAUCACCAUCGGCAUUUCCUCCUUCUACCUGACUACUCUGCCCUGGUUCAUAACCAUAAGCAUUUCCUCCUUCUACCUGACUGCUCUGUCCUUGUUCGUAACCAUAAGCAUUUCCUCCUUCUACCUGACUGCUCUGUCCUUCGUAGCCACCAUCGCCUUCAUGUGCAGUGACCUCCUUCACGACGGGAAGCACUAAAGCAACAGGAUUGCAUCCCCUUCGUUCACAACCUUGUAACCACCGCACCCAAUCGGAGUCUCCCUCUAUUGGCCUCAAAUAAAAGUAAAUUUUUGAACUUGACCAUGUCCACAAUGCAUGAACACCGACGGUGUGUGUUUCAGUAUCAAGACCUAAACUUGCCGCAAUCCAUUCUUUCAACUUACUGACAGACCAUGUUUGUGGUGCGCUCAUUGGCACCUCUAUGUGAGUAAAUUCACUCAGAUCUGCUCCCAACUCAGUUGUUUGGACAGUACCAGGACCGUAGUAAAAAUCUGAACUUCACUACAUCGGACAUCUCGACUCACCUAUAUUUUUUUCAACAACGAAAUACAAGUAUUAAGCAACAACUUUAUAUCCCCACUAACAAAUAUUAGACAUGUCUAUAUAUUACCUAGCUAUAUAUUACAGAAUAUUAACGGAGCAACUAAUGCAAUUCACACACCUACAAGUAUAUUACGAAUAUUUGCCAUAGCAACUACAAAUAUUGACAGAUUAGUAUAUUUGACUGGACUGCCUAUAUUACGGACCUUUUUCGGAACUACUACAAAUACUGACACUCCUAAAUACUUGACAUCCACAUAUAGUACGGAUUAUUACCGGAGCAACUACACAUUUUUACACAACUAAUUAGUUGACAUAUAAAUAUAUUUACGUAUACUACCGGGGCAAAUAACAAUAAUCGCACACCUAAUUUAUUUCACAUCGAAACAUAUUAACAAAUACUACCGGAGCACCUACGAAAAAUAAAAUGUGGGCUGAAAUAUACCCUUGAAGCGUGCGUGCGAACGAAGAACGACGAACGGCGGCCACCAAACUGCCGGUGCUCCGCCUCCAACGAAGAACGACGAACAACAGCUUCACCUCCACCACACUGCCCCAACUUCACCACCACCACCUCCACCAAAAUGCUCACCACGACCACCACGAGCUACCACAUCAGUAGAUCGAGACCUCUUUUGGCUGCCCUAACUGAGUUGAAUCCAUUCACGGUGCCAAAAUCGCGAAAAACUUGCUCAUUUAGGUGUAUAAAUUGGUGGCAUUUUUGUGUAGAGAGAGGAGAAGGUAAGAACAGAAAAGAACAGAAGAAGAAGGGAGGAAGGGGAGAAGAAGAAGGGAGGAAGGGGAGGAUAAGGCAGCAGCCGGCUAGCCGCGCGAGGUGGUAGCACCCUGUCGGCCAGCAGCUGGCCGAUCGGCCCGCGGUAGGCCGACAGGGGCGCACCCACGCCGACAGCCCACUCCCUCCCCCUCACGACGUGGCCCGCCCAACCAGAGGCCGCCGCGUGCCAGCCGGGCCUGCAGUCGGCCUGCUGCUAGCCGAUCGGCCUGCUGUGGGCCGAUUAGGUCCAGUCGGCCUACAGCGGGCCGACGGUGUAUUAUUUUUGAAAAUAAUAUUUUCGGCGUAAUAUUUCUAUAAUUUAAUAAAAAAUGUAUUAUUUAAAAAAAUUAGCCAUGCAUGGCAAGCAGUACACACAAAAGAGCCCAUGCAUGGCCUUGCGUGUUGUGCAUUUGGGCCUAGUACCGAUGAGGUAGUUUGCCACCAGAUUCAUACGGGAAGUUUAUUUCGUAUCAGAUCGCGUGUGGGUCCGGCAGAUUAACAGGCACAUCUUGACUUCCAAGAAAAUAGACGAAACGAUCUCCACGCUGGUCUUUAAUAAAUAGUCAUCAUAUUCUAGGGUUUAGACUCGGGUUUUAUUGUAUUGUCUAGCCAUCGCUACAAUUCGCAUCUACGAGACAUGUAGGACUACCGCCUUGUCAGAUCCACAAUGGAACCCCAACUUCUCAUCUAGUACGUGUGCUUAAUUUUUCAUCCGCAAUUUCACCUUUGUUCUUGUUGGUUCUUCGGUUGCUUGCAGGAACUCGAACCUCAUUAUUCAGGUUGAUCGUGCCUACGGCAAGGUCAAUAACCAUCGGAGAUUGGUUUAGCGAUUGUCGAGACGUAUCGUCAGGUAUGGUAUAGCCGGAUUGUCAAGGUCAAAAUCCACCAAAUCGAUGAUUAUCCCCAUUCUCAUCGAAAGAUCGGGCCGCUGUCACAUCAAGUGGUAAUCGAUAAUUAUCCCCAUUCUCGUCGAAAGAUCGGGCCGCCGUCACAUCAAUCCAUCACCUAUGUUUUGCCAGGGGUAGAGCCCUUCCCUCGGGGCUGGUUGGAGAGGCGCUCCGUUAUUCAGGUCGACAUGGUGGCGCAGAUCGUCCUUCAUGGCCAGGAUCCUCCAGUAGGCGUCUGCAUAGUGGAGGUGCGUUCCAGAAAGUGGCUUCCAUUCCCACAGAAGUUGUGAAGUACCUUUGGGAAUGCGGUCUUCAUGUCAUCGUAUGAUCGGUUUAUGAUGGCUGCUACGAGGUCAUCCAUGGAGUCUCUUUUCUUGUCGCCUUUGAUCUGAACUGCUUCUGGAUGUCGACGUGGUGCUCAUCUCGAAUUUUAAUCCAUUCAUUGCCAAGCAUCUUCUUGUGAUUCAUGAUGUCCACGUUAGCGGAAGUUAUCACUUUGCGUUGUAGGAAAUCAUUAAGUUCACGACACUCCCUCUUGGCCUUGCAGUAGUGGUAAACGAGGACGUGCUCGUGCAUGGAUAAUUGCGGGAUGGUAACCCCCUAUCGCUUCAAAGGACACAUUUUCGAGGUCCAUGCCCAUGAAAUUGCACUUCUCCUCCUUGAGAUAGUGCUUGAACAUGGCACUGGUUUGCUCCACCGCUAGUAUAUAGCACCUCCAGACAUGAUCAACAUCCAGUGUUUCUUUCCCGUCGUCCAUGGCAAUAAAGAGGGGGCUGGGAGGGGUUGGUUUGUUUGUGCGGAUGAGAGAGAGAGAGAGUGGCUUCCAUUCCCAGAAGUUGUGAAGUACCUUUGGGAAUGUGGUCUUCAUGUCAUCGUAUGAUCGGUUUAUGAUGGCUGCUACGAGGUCAUCCAUGGAGUCUCUUUUCUUGUCGCCUUUGAUCUGAACUGCUUCUGGAUGUCGACGUGGUGCUCAUCUCGAAUUUUAAUCCAUUCAUUGCCAAGCAUCUUCUUGUGAUUCAUGAUGUCCACGUUAGCGAAAGUUAUCACUUUGCGUUGUAGGAAAUCAUUGAGUUCAUGACACUCCCUCUUGGCCUUGCGGUAGUGGUAAACGAGGACGUGCUCGUGCAUGGAUAAUUGCGGGAUGGUAAUCCCCUAUCGCUUCAAAGGACACCUUUUCGAGGUCCAUGCCCAUGAAAUUGCACUUCUCCUCCUUGAGACAGUGCUUGUACACAGGGGCGGAGCCAGGAUUUAGACAUGGGGGGCCAGAUGGCAUGAAGCCAGCACACAAAAAAUUGGCAGUCGGAGCGUGUGUAGCAAUAGCUAAUAUUGGUCAAUAAUUUCUGUUGAACGCCAAGAAGACGAAUUUGAUUAUCAAACUACUCUGAAAUACGACAUGAAAUGCCAUGCAAACAUUGUCAUAUGGGAAUUUAAGAUAUACGAACACGAAUACUCAUGUAUCAUCACAUCGUUGGUUUUUAACUUGCAUUUAUAUAUGUUUGAAUGAGAAAUCAUCACUGGUUAUAUUAGAAAAUUUAUUGUUUAGUUAGCAAAAAUUGAUCAACGUUGCUAGAACACAUACCUAGAAAACCAAAUCCACUCCUCAUUAUCCCCUUUGCCACUAGGUUCAAGUAGAUCGGCUAGUCGUCGUUGGCAGGCAAAUGUGACAACAAUCACUGUAUACGAAUGCUCAACCAAGCAUUGAUGAGUCCGAGCUUUCGAACUAUUUCAUGUGCUUUAACCUAGCAUAGAAAUGCAUCACAAAUCACACAACAAAAUACUAACUUAAAUCAGAUGUAGAAGUUCAAUACAGUACAAGAUUAUAAUUGAGAGAGAUUAGUAGAUGGUGUGAUGCGUUAACCUCGGCUAGUUCAUUGGCUAGCAUGAAGAAUUGGUGGGUGCGUCGCCGGCCUCGGACGGCAGCGGCUCAGCGCUAAUCACGGAGAUAAUGCUCAUCGCCAAGAGAUUUAGCGGAGACCCAUCGUACAAUCUUUUUUUUCUUUGCCUUGGCAUGGACUUAGGAAACGACUAAGUAGUGGGCUUAUACAUGGGCCGUUUUCCUUUCUCUAGUAUUCAUGUAACGAUAGGGGGGCCAACAACGUUAUACGUGUAAAUCUUAUCGCUAAUUAACUGUUGAUAUGAUGCGAACCAACCUGUGGUUGGAUGGUUAGAGGGACUGUGGUAUUCCCAGCCCACCAGGGUUCAAAUCCUGGUGCUCGCAUUUAUUCCUGAAUUUAUUUCAGGAUUUUCGGCGAUGUGCAUUCAGUGGGAGGAGACGUUCCCGUCCACGACGAGGUCGGUGACUUCGUAAAUCUCAAGAUGAUAUGCCGGCUCAGUCUUUCGAAGGUGCUUAUAGGGGUAGGUUGUGCGUGUAUGCGUUCAUAGGGGUGAGUGUAUGCGCGUGUAUAUGAGCGCUUUAGUCUGUACUGAUGUUCAAAAAAACUGUUGAUACGAUAUGUUCGCUCGAUCGUUGGGGGGGCUGGCCCCUGCUCGUCCCCCCUUGGCUCCGCCACUGCUCGUACAUGGCGCUGGUUUUCUCCACCGCUAGUAUAUAGCACCUCCAGACAUGAUCAACAUUUGAUGUUUCUUUCCCGUCGUCCAUGGCAAUAAAGAGGGAGAGGGAGGGAGGGAGAGAGAGAGGAUAGCUAGCUAGAAUGAGUUAUGUAUUAAAGAUGAAUUGGUUACUUCGUAGAGGAGAUCUGGCAAUCGCUCAUGGCAUCUGUUGGAACAUCUUUGAGCGGUUUGAGCAGACUGACAACGCAGGCGGCAUUGAGCGUCCAUUCUACGACACACAUUGUUUGAAAGUAGACAAAGUAGUAGCAAUCCCUCGUCGUCCCUGACCAUUUGCUUCCACAAAAUAACGUCAGCACAAAAAGGUGGAUGGGUCUGGGCGUGCUAGGGUAUCGUGAAAUAAAACCGCCACGGUUAGUAAUAUGCGUAGCUAGCCCAUUGUCAUGUUCUUUCAUCUUGUCUUCGUGAUGCCAGGAAUAGUAUCUUUGAGGGCCAAACAUGUGGUUGAGACUGAAGUAUAACCAUUUUCCGAGUUGGUGAAAUGAAGCCCAGACCGACUGACAUAAUCGCUGAAAUCGGCUUAUCUGCCCGGGUACAUGUCGUCCCAGCAGGGCCGACUUGGCACACUAUACAAUCAGGUGGGUAGAGGCGAGAAUUCAAGGUGUCAGGAUUCAUUGUCACUGUUGAAGGAUUCAUAGGCAGCUCGAUGAUGGCAGAAGCCAGGCGUCGCUCAAGGGGAGAAGGAAAUAAAGAAGAUGGGUGGAGGAGGAUGGGGAAAAGGGACGUGUGGGCCCUCUCCAUGCCUCGCGUGAUAAAAGCGGCUUAUUAUUUUCAUAAAUCAGUCGGUUAGAUUAAAGUUCUUUCCUUUUUCUUUUGCUAGACCAGGAUUACUUUCCUAUGUCUCAAAUUUUUGUUUUUGCCUUACUGUCGUGCAGAUAUCAAUGGCCUUUCAUGUAUGGAUUCUUUUCCCUUCGCCAAACCUCCACGUGCACAACUGCAUAUUGUGUGUUUGAAAUUUAAAAUCGUGUGUUGGUGGCAAUGAAAGGGGAUUUGGACCGGAUGAGCCAUUGAGAUAGAUGGUGAGAUUGGAUUGGCAGGCAAAGAUAGUGGGUGGAAGAUAUAUAUCAAACACUAUUGAUUUUGUGACACUAUAAAUGCCCCCAUUGCAACACGAUUAGCUAGUCUUCACUAGCAAACAAAUGCAUCACUAUCUACAUAUGAGAAGAACAACUUUCCCAGAUUUGUAAAUAAACAAAUACACUUUACAAAUAUGUAAAACCUAACAAGUACUACACUACGAGUUCUCUUCCCAACCAAGUUCUUACAUAAUUAUGUUUUUGCUUUCAAUUCUCUUCCCAACCAAGUUGUUACAAUCCAUUGCAAGAGGGUGAACAAAAUUGUAAUUCAAAGCUGAGAGCAUCUCCAGCCGUUGCCCCCCCCCCCCCAGGAGGCAUAAAAAUCGCCGCCUGGGGGCGAGCCAGCGGUAGAAUCGGCGCUGGGGCGGUUGGGCAUCCAGCCAUCGCCCACAGGUCGCCCCCAGGCGCCGAUAUCGGCCCAUUCGCGGCCGCUUUUCGGCCCGGAUAAAUAGAAAAAUGGCCCGAUAUCAGUGAGAAACGGCCCAUAUUCGGCGUGGUUCGGCGUUGAUUCUCAACAUAAAUAAUUUUUUUAUCACAUAGUUCAUCACAGAAAAUCAAAUAAUUCAACAAAAUAGUGCAACAAAAAAUAGUUCAAUACAAAUUAUAUAGUUCAACAAAUAAAAACUCAUCACACGUCGAGCUAGGCGUCACCCUUGAUCCUCCAUAGGUGCUCCACCAGAACCUGCUGCAGUUGAUGAUGCACUUGUGGGUCUCGGAUCUCCUGACGCAUACUGAGGUAGGCAGUCCAGGUUGCCGAUAGCUGGUGAUCAACUUUGGCUAGAGGACCCUGCCUGUAGUAUGGUUCAGUUUCAAACACUGGUUGUUCCUGCUCGCUCUCGAUGAUCAUGUUGUGCAAGAUGACACAGCAAGUCAUGAUCUCCCACAUUUGAUCUUUCGACCAGGUCUGAGCAGGGUACCGGACAACAGCAAAUCGACAUUGGAGCACACCAAAUGCCCGCUCGACAUCCUUCCUGCAAGCCUCCUGCACCUUGGCAAAGUGGGACUUCUUGCCUCCUGGCACAACGUUUGAGAUAGUCUUCACAACUGUAGACCAUCUCGGAUAGAUGCCAUCAGCUAGGUAGUACCCCUUGUUGUAGUGCCGCCCAUUGACCUCGAAGUUCACCGGAGGAGAAUGACCUUCACCAAGCUUGGCAAAGUGAUGUAGGGUAGAACCCUAGUGGCCCAAUCUUUCACGAUUGGAGCGGAUCCCACGAAGAACACGAAGAACACGGGGAGUGUGGCACCCCGGCUCAGAGAACCCGGAACGCCCCGUAUUCCAGCCCAGAGAUCGAGAUGAAGUCUUCUGGAAUACGGCACUGCUUGACAUAGAAAAAUCGGCUCUUGUUACAAAGGAUAAAUAUACAAGGGUCUGAUGUUACAAAGGUUCACAUCAGCAUGGCGACACUACACCUGCGAUACUACACUUGCUCUAUGCUAGCAGCGGAACAACUUGUAGCAGCGGAACAACGGCGGAGGUGGUGGACUCCACUCCGCAGGGACUCUGGCUGGGACACGAUCUAGCUCGCACGAACGGAAACCACGACAAGCAACCAAGCAACCACGGCAUCAUCUGCAAUCUGGCAUGACACGCCAGGUCAGUACAUUGAAUGUACUGCAAGCUCACAACAACCAAAAACAUCAAAGCAAGACAACAACAUAGCAUUAAGCGGGUUAAUUAAAUUAACAGCUACCAGGAUACAACAACAACUACUAAGCAUGAUAUGAAACUACUACUACAAUACUGAUAAACCAACAUCUCAAUACCAACAACAAUCUCAUUCUUGGCUAACCGGCCAAGCAAAUACCAUCUCGACCACCUCGUGGUCCACAUGAUCACCUCGUGAUCAAAAUAUCCACACGGUCACCUCGUGACCAACAUAUCCACACGGUCAUCUUGUGACCAACAUAUCCACAUGGUCACCUCGUGACCACAUCACAAACUGAAUGAUCAUCCUCAAGAUCAUCUCAACAUCAACAUCCUGCCAAACUGUUACUGCUCACAAUAUCAACAUAUACAUCACCUAUAAGUCAUUCCAUCAUGUGAGUGUUGAUCGAACGGUGUGACCUAUUACGAACUUAUGCCCAUGACCGAGGACGCGGCUAUCGAUAGUUUAAACACACACUCUCUGCAGAGGUAGCGCACUUUACCCACACCACAGAAUCCAUGGCCUCACACUGCCAUUCGGGUGGACCAACGGCAUUCCGACAAAACCGACCUACUGCCAUGACACUCUCCCGGCCACUCCGACCAACACCCCUUUUGGGUUCAGUCCUGGGUGGCCCUGUGCCUACCAAAGGCACCAACGGCCACCGUCGUGGCAAAACAUACACUGUCCCAAUCGGGGAUAAGAGAUCUCAAUACCAACUAUGAGCACACAAGGCUUAUGCCAUCCUACCUGAUCAGGGUAGCGCCCGCGCAUAACCUUCCCUCGUUGGAGGCACCGGCAAGAGGCACGACAAUAGACCGCAUUAGGGCCUUCCCAUAAAGGCAAAUGUGGUUGCACUCGAAAAGCCCGGUUCGGUGGCACCUGACCAACUUAAUGACGGAAUUUAUCCCCAACAUAUAACAGUGAUAACUGAUAAUCUGCUAUCAUCUACCAACCUGUGAUCCAAGUCAUAGUAAUAUCCAACAAAUAAUCCAAAGCAUACCAUCGACAUAACAAAAUACUCCAAGGAUAGCAUAACAUCUCUAUCAUGAUGAAUCCAAGAACAAUAAUACUACUACUCAAAUAUCAAGAACUAGCUACCCAACUAUGAUCCACAUGCAAGCAUCAUCUCCAACAUCAUACUCCCAAACCUAAUAUCAACUAGCAUCAUGAUGAAAACAAUACUAGCCGCUAAUAAUCCAGAGGCAACGUAAUAUCCAAAGUAAUACUCAAAAAUAAUACCAGAUGCCAUCAUGAAAAUAAUCAUAAUAUCCACUAAGAAUCCAAAGGCACAUGUCAUCCACAUAAUCAUCUAAAUAUAAGUCCUAGAACUCCAAGCAAUAUCAUGGCAAUAGCAAGAUCAAAACAAUACUCCGAGAAAUGCCAUGAACAAAUCACAAGUAGCUAGAACAAUAUUUUAAACAAGUUUAAAUAAAAAAUCAUGUCACUGCGUUGCAAUCAUGUAAAUGGAGGGUGUGGCUUGCCUGCGGUGGAAGAAAUCACCGGGAGAACGUGCGAGAAGCUCGCGAAAAGAAUCGCCGGAAAACGUUCAUUCUCGGAGGGGGCUGAUUAAGCGCAAGGGAAAAAUGGUCAUUUUUAGAAUGUUAACACAUGGUGAAAAUGAUACCAACAGAACGGGCUCGACGAAACAAAGAAAUGGGCUUUGGAAUCACCUGAUUUGGAGUUGGGAGUAAAAAGAUAUAAGGGUUUUUCUGCCAGGGACCUAUUUGUAAUAAAAUCAUCACAAACAGGCCCUUGGCUGGAAAAAUAGAACGCGCCUUUCUGAAAAUACGUUUUCCAUACAGGAAAACGCAUUUUAGCCCGACGCAGAGGAGAAACGUGCUUUCGUGUGCGGGAGACGUAUUCGUGGGAAUACGCCUCCACUUAUCCACGUCAGCGAGGGAGCGGGGCCGGCCUAGUCUCGCUGACACGCGGGGCCCGCGGGGUCCGAGGCCAGCUGGCGGGGAGGGGUCGUCGCCUUCAUCCCCGUGCUCGCUCGCGGUCUAUAGAGAGGCCGCCGGCGCCGGCGCUCGCCUGGCCGACUCCGGCCAUCCCCCGAGCCGUGCAGCACAUCAGCGCGCUCAGGGAGAUGAGCCGCACCCGCCUGGAGCAUCCUCACACCGCGGGGAGGACGGCGUCGAGCAAGGCCACGGAUGCAACGGACGGCGGCUCCGGUCGGUGAUGGGCUUGCGGCUAGAGGCCACCGGAGGAGAGGAUGAGGUUUUGGGGUGGUGAUGGAGGUCGCCGGUGGUGGAGAAGAGGAAUGGGGGCUCGGCUUCGGGCAAAUUUAGGCGGAUGGACGCGGCGGCCAUGGCGGUCAACAGAGGCGAGGAGAGCCUCUCGAGCUCGUGCGAGUGGCUGGGGAGGGGUAGUGGAGCGAGGCAAGGCUGGUGAUGAGGUCGAAUGGCUCGGGGGAGGGCUAUAUAUAUAGCCGGGCGAGGGGGGCCGAGCCGGUCGCCGCCGUGCACGCCCGGCCAAGGCACUGGCGACGCUCAUCGAUCACGGGGAGGCGCGGGAACGCGACAAGGGAGGAGCGGACGAGCGACAGUGGUGCACAGGGCAAGAGGGGCCGAGGGCGCAGAGGAGGAAGAUGUCGCGGCGCCAUUAAUGCUCGGUCGGCCACAGUGCGCCCGUGGGCGUGCGGCGACGAGCGCUGACGAAGGGCUUACGGAGGGGGAGAUGGCUCCAGGAGGACGGCGACGACGCGGUGAAGCUAUUGGACACGCUCACGAGCGCGAAGACGACAAGAGGGAGAGGGGCCCGAGCAAGAAACCAUCCUGGACGCGGCCAUGGCAUGCCAGAGAGGUGGUGACCGCGUGAGCUGCCGAGGAGAAGGUGCCAAAGGUUUGCAAACGUUGUCUAGUGGUAAGUUCAUCCAGGGGAGGUUUCAACUGCGGUGGUAGAUCGAUUAAAACUGCUCUGGUUAAACGGUAAGAACCCUUUGAAGUUUACUGCAGUCUCUCUCGUGGAGUUGUCUGCGAGGUUUGGGGUAAGAAGGACUUUCAUCCUGGUAACUUUGAGAAGAUUUGGAUCAAGAUUUAAUGUAGUUGCUUUACAACCACAUAAACUAGUCCAGAAACAAAAAUAGGAAGAAUCACUCACAUGGUGAGGCUACUUGAGCUCAAAUUUGUCAAGUCCUAAUGAUUUGAUCAUAUAAAGAUGCUGUAGAAGUUUCAUACCAAUUGGAUUCACCAAAAUGGUACUUCCUUCACAGCUAUUCUCCCUGUCCAGAAACUUGCAAGAAUUCUAGAGAAAUAUUGGCUCAAUGAAGUGGUGCCAAAUUUGGUGGAUAGAGGUUAUUUGGAUAGGAGAACAAUCUGGUAUUUUAUCAGAAUUAAUGAAGCAAUAUAAAAUGCACUUGCUUCACAACCUGAAAAUAUUGCCAGAAUCAAAGAUUUGGUCCUGUGCUCACAUAGAUCAAGGGAUGGAGCUGAAAUUUGAAGGAGACUAAUUAUAUGAGCACAUGAAGAGGUAUGAAAAAUUUCAACUUAUUUGGGUACUCCUAGCAAGCACUUCCUUCACACUGGCUUCUGUUUGACAGAAACUUUGAAAAAUCACUGAGGAAGAUUGGUUAGGCAAAUAAAAUUGAAUUUUGGCAUGAGGCAAUUAUUUGGACAUAAGAACAUGCCCAAAAGGUUUGGGAGCAAUCAGGAAAGGAUAGGUGGCACUUCCUUCACAGAAAGCCACACUGGACAGAAAUGAAGAAUAAUUAUUGGAGAAUUAUUAUUGGGCUAGGACAGGAAAGUUUGGGCAUAUUUGAGCAACAUAUGACCCAAAGAAAUUAUGAGAAUUAUUUGGGAAUUUAUGGAUGGACAGAAAUAUAGGUUGCUUCACAACCUAGGGCGAAUAGGAUUAUUCCUUUAAUAGAAAAGGGAAUAUUUCCUAGAAAAAGAUUUUAGGGUUUGGUCAAGGAGUGAAGUGACAUGAUCUUGGAAAGUUUCUGAGAAUGAUGAGCCACUUGGGAGGGGAAAUGAGGAUGAUUUCCCAGGUGACAAGGCCACAGAACCACUCCAAAAAGAAAAAAUCAGAGCAAAAACCAAUAAAUCGAAAAGAAAAAGAAAAGGGCCAAAAACCAGGCUGUUACAGGGAGAAAACACGAGGAGGAACACGAGAGAAAUCACUCAAACCAACAAGAACAAUCACACAUGUGCUAGAUCCUCGGAACACAAAGAGAUACACGAUCCAAAAUCAACAAGGGACGAUACAUAGGGUAACCGGUUCUUCUCUGUGAGGAGGUCUUGAUGGGGCCACCCGUGAGGGGGUCUUGAAUCCAAGGUGGAUCUUCUCCGUAGAGGCGCGCGGUCUUUCUCGUGGAGUAGAUCCGUAUGGAUGUGCAAAGCUCUAUCUCUAAAUGAGCUAAUCCUUUGCUAACCCUCAAAUGGAGGAGGGGGGGAGUAUAUAUAGUCUAGGCCACGAAGGGGUAAGUGAGGGGCGAAGGGGUACAUGGGCGUUGGCCCAAGUCACGCACGCAGGCGGGGUCCGGAUGAUCCGGAUGGUGGUCUGGAUGAUCCGGGCGGCCGUCCGGAUGAUCCAGCUUCGUCGAGCAGGCUUCGGGUGUCUUCGGGCACAUUACCCGGAUCGUCCGGGUCGGGGUCCGAAUCAUCCGGGCUUGGUCCGGAUCGUCUGGCUGGGGAUCCGGAUGAUCCGGGCAAGUCCAAUCUUGCUCCGAUCUUCUUCUUCCUUCUCCUCUUCCAUGCUUGGCCUUGGUCCUUGGAUCCUCCAUGGUCAUCUCGGUUGUACCUGAGUAUAUGCAAGGUCCAUGCAUGAGGUAGUAGCCAUGUCUCACAUGUGGAAACGGUUCGAAGAGGAGUGAGUUCACCUUGUGUCCAAUGGCGUAUGGUCGAGGUCUCAUCGUAUGUCCUCUUGGGGCUUGGGGAGUAGUCGAAGUGUACAUGGGGAUGAUCGUGGGAUGCUCCGCAUCAUCUCCCCCCCCCCCCUUGGGAAAGAUCCGACCUCGGAUCGUGAUCCUCAUCACCAUGGAAACGGUUGUUGUGGACGGACGUGUAGUUGGACGGAGUUGAAGACAUUGCGCAAUCCAAGUACUCCAAAGUGUCGCCGGAGUGGUAUACAUGCAAAAAGAGCAAACACAAACAACACUCAGAAAUACAAUGGUUAGCGCACACAAAGUGUCCAUCAUGUAAGAAUGAGUCUGUGCGGCAAGAUUGUUCACGACAAAGCGCAUGAAGCUUAUCAAGAUGAUAUAGAAUGAUAUGCAAAGCAUUCAUGGGAGCAAAAGCAUUCAUUGUGCACACAAAUGUAUUGUGAAUGUGAUCAAUGCAACCAUUGUGCAAAAUGAUGUCAUAAUGGGACGGUUUAUCAAAAGCAUGAACAUGGUAAUUGGUGCUCAAUGUGAGUAUGUGAUCAUGCAAUUGAUGUUGGGCAAUUUGAUGAUUAUGUAUGAAUAUGCCAUCAAGAAAGAUUACAACAAAUUUGCUAAGGAAAUGCACAAGCUUAUAUAUCAUGGAUGACAUAGAAAUACAAGAUGCAACAAGGCAAUCAUAAGGUGAGUCAAUCCAUGCAUAAGAUGAAAAAUUGCUAUGGGUAUGAUAUGUCCAUCGAGCAUGACAUAUGGGAACACAAUCAACAAAUAUGUAUUUGUAGGUGCAAUGUGUCAAAGGAGUGUUGAUGUACCAAUGCUCGAUGUCGUGGCAUGAGUGGAGGUUCGAAGGUGCAUCCAAGAAGUCCGAGCGCUCCUCAACUUGAAGGUCCAAAGGGUCCAUCUCCAAUGUCGCUCCUCCGUUCACGAGAUGUGUCAUGUAGACAACAAGAAGGAAACAACAAUGAAAGAAUGACCCAUCCAAUAUGCAUAUGUGAGGAUAGCUCAAAGGGGAGGUCACUUUUAGGAGUUUCUCAAGGAUGAUGGAGUUGCGCAUCUUGUAUGCCUUCACAUAACCAAUAUGUCUCGUGAUGGUACCGCCUUGUGAAUCCUUCAAAAUGAAAUAACAUGACAAACACUCGGAAAAACAAAUGAGGUUAGUGGAAGUGCGAAACCUAUCAUUCGUGUGGUAAGAUACCCAACAAGUGUAUGCAUCAUGCUCAUCAUAAGAAAGUACAAGGGAGCAUUUCAUAGUAUGGAGGCAUAUGAUGCAAGAACAACCAAAUACAAUAGGCUCAAUCAAACAAGCAUGCAUCACAAGUAAUAUGUCCAGGUCUCCACGAUCAAUAAGCAUAGCAAGUUGGCACUCAAUACAAGGGGGUAUAAGAUAUGGCACUAAUGGAGACAAAAGACAAUGAUCAACAAAAAUCAAGUGAGAGGCAUGAACAUAUAUGUCAUCAACCCAAGAAAGCGAGUAAGAGUGGAACAUGGGUGAUGCGACAAAGCAAGCAAUCAUAAUGAUCAAGUCAAGCAAGCUAGUAGUGCGAAGAUGCAACGUACUAGAAGGGAUCAUGGCAAUCAUGUCAUGGGUGCAAAUAGUGAGCAUGAAUAAUGCACAUGACAUAUCACAAGCAUGAAAACAAGAUAUGAGAGAUGUAUCAUCAUUGUAUUGGCAAGAGGUCAUAUGGAAAUAGCAAUGGAACAUCAUGGCUCUCCCAACACAAGAGUCAACAAUAGCAUGAGGCACAUGGUAAACAUGGCAAUAGCAACAAGCAUCUCCAUCAAGCAUGCAAAUACACAUAGGAGUAGCAUAAUGGUGAAUGAUGGGUAGAUGCAAGCAAGGGUCACAAUUGCAUGGCAAAAUCAUGUAAAGAGGCAUAACAUGCAAAGUGAACAAGAUACAAUGGGCAUAAAGUAACAAGUGAUAUAUAUAGCCCAUAGCCUUGUGAGAGCCAAGUAAAAAAGGAAUGCGCAAAGUCGGUGCGCGAAGAGAACAGUGGUAAGGAUAGUUCACGGGAUCCCAAGUCAUCUUUGCUCUCAAGAGCUCAUUUCGUCAACUCUUGGGAUUGAGAGGUUGACGAGUAUACGUGUGUACCUACACAAAACAAAGACAAAGGGAAAAUUGUGUGUGCGUGGUAUAUGUACAUAUCAUCCAUCAUGAUGCGCACGUGCAUGUGUUGGUUAGCACAAAAUAUCGAAUGCUUAAAUAAAUGAGAUGCGUGAUAUAGAAACAUGGCAUCCAUCAUGAUAGGUUUGUUAUUAUGUAUAGCAUAAUGGAGACUCGAAUUGUGUAAUGCAUCAUGAGAAAUAUGUAGAGCAUUGUUAUUCAUGGAAUGCAUAUGGUGCACGCAAUCAUGGGAAUCAUGCAAAGUAUGGAAUGAAUCAAAAUCUCCUAAUAUGUAUGAGGAAACUAUGAGGGUCUCCUCGUGAGCAUUUGUAGAAACAUCACAUGGAGAAUAUUGACAACAUCCAAAACAAAGCAUAUUUGGAACAAUGUGAUCAUGGCAUGGCAUGGUAGAUGAAUUGCGCAAAUCAUGUAAAGGACGCAUAGCAAUAUCAUCGCAUGAAAAACAAAAGCCAAUGACCAUGAUCUCGUCAUCUAUGCCAUAAGUGCAAAUGGGAUUUAUCUUAAUGGGGCAUGCAUAGUUACUAUGUUGAGAUUGAAAUGAUGCAAUAUGGGAGAUCUCACUCAUAGCAUAUGACAAGUUUAAUGGGUUGUCAAACAUGAUGUGACCAAAAGAAUUUUCACAAGAUAUCCUAUGGAGCAUAGCAUCACAACUAGGCAACUCAACAUGCUCAUCAUCAUAUUCAUGAUAUGAGGAAGUCGCACUAGCAUGAAGCAUGGGAAUAGGUGGAUCAACAUUAUGCAAGCAAUCAUUCGUGAGAUAGUCCACUAGUGGAACAAGAGAAGCACCAUCACCUAUGUUACCUUUGGAGCAUCGCUCAUGUGUUGUAGGUGAGGUGUCGAAGACCAAGUCGUGGUCAUCUUCAUCUUGAUGGAACCAUGUGGGGGGUGCAUCAUUAUUCACCAUGGCCAUCGUCGUCUCCAUUGGAGGUAUGGACUCGUUGAGGAUAGGCAUGUCGUCAUGUAGGAGACCUAGCACCAAAUAAGAAAACACACUAGGAGUAGAGGUUAAGUCAUUAGAAAUCAUAGUGGCCUCACGUGCCGUCUCAACUACCUCACUCACUACGUGUUGUGACUCACUCACUCCCUCCCUCUUAGAUGCUCUCACUCGUAUGGUUGGUGGAGUCACUCAAAUGGCGCUCAACCUCACAUAGGAUGUGUGGCAUGCUCUCAUGUGUGGGGCUAGUGGUGGUCACACUCAUCCUCUCAUAGGAAAUGCACUCAAUGUCACAUAUGGUGGAGUCACUCAUCUCACUCAUGGGGUGGUGGCUCUCCUCACAUGGCAAUUGGGGCAUCUCGUCAUAUGUAGGUGUCGGAGAGAUGUUGGUGCAAAUGUCUCCAUGCUCAACUCCUAUCGCCGCCUUGGUUGAAGGGAUAGUCCCAUGCUCAACCUCCUCAUCCAUAACGACUCCAAAGGUGAAUGCCAUAGGAUGUGGCAAGACAUCACUCUCCUCCGAGAUCAGAGAGAAGGUCUCAUGUGCGGUCUCAUAGCUUGACUCGGAGUAGGAGACAUAUUGGGGCACCGUCUUCAUGUUGUUGAAGAGGCACGUACUCGCCGCCGUGGUCAAAGAGGAUGGCCCUUGCUCGACCGUCUUGUCGCCGUCUUGUUGUAGGAGGCCCAUAAGAUGUGGCACCCCGUAGCGCGUCUCCAUGACCGAAGGGAAUUUCCCAUGCUCGGCCAUCUUCCUUGAGGGGCUUCCGAAGAUGGAAGUGUCACCCUCGCUCGUAGGUGGUCGCCUCGUUGUUGAAGAUGUCGAUGUAGGCGAACUCGUGGGAAGUAGGCGAAGAUGUCGUACGUCCAAAGGCGAAGAUGCCGAAGUGGUUGGUGUAGCCGUAGCUCCGUCUUGGUGGUGCUCGUCUCGCGGUCUUCUCGUUUUCUCAUGAAGUUUGGUCGUAGCUUGAUGUAGAGCUUGUUGGGACUUGUAGGUUUGCGCUUGGCAAGCAUCUUCAUGAUGAUGGUGUCGUUGUCGUGCUUGAGCUCGAUGGCAUUUGUCGUCUGUAGGAGAUAUGCCCUAGAGGCAAUAAUAAAUAAUAUUAUUUAUCUCCGAGUUCAUAAUUAUGUUUAUGUUCCAUGCUAUAACUGCUAUGGUUCUCAAGUCUGCAAUAACCACGAGGCUCGGAGGAAGACUCAUAUGCACGUGUGGAAUAAUAAACGGUAAAAUGUAUUCCUAGUCUGGCCUCUAAGACUAGCUCAAGUGUUGCAUGAUGGUUAUGUUUUCCUGAUCAUGGGCAUGUCUAUGUCAGCAACCUUGAGGGCACAAUGUUAAGAGAACAUUUGUGUUGAAUCGACCCGGCAUGAUGUUAUGCUAAGAGAUUCAUUCGUCACAAGUUAAUGGUACAUAACACAGAGAUGGUUAACGUUUGCAUGAUUCCUUAGACCAUGAGAGUAUCGAGUUUCUUCAUGCUUGCUUCAUGAACUUUGGGGUUUGUUAAACGUCAUCCGUAAAUGGGUGGCUAUUACGGCGGCUUACGGGUUCAUGGAAAAGUGUGUCAAGUAACUUGAUAGCUCAAGAUUGGGAUUUGCUCCUCCGACGAUGGAGAGAUAUUCUCGGGCCCUCUCGGUAUUACGGUAUCCAUCAUCGUCUGGCCAGACACAGUGUGAUUUGAUCACUGGGAUGCCGGAACACGGAAACGAGAAAGGAGAACAAAACCGGUAACGAGGUAACUUGCAUGGUGGGCAAAUUGUUCGUCCAUGGGCAUGCAAUAAAUCUCACCUCGGGUGUUUGUGACAUAUCGCGAAGCAACAGGAAUAGCUCACUGCAACUGGAGGUUCACUCGAAUAUUCAUUCGCGUGGGUAUAGGGGUCAAUAUGGGUGUCCACGGCUCCGAUGUUGAUCAUUGAUCGGAAGGGGUUCCAGGUCAUGUCUAUACUUCACCGAACCUAUAGGGUCACACGCUUAAGGGUCAUCUAUCUGCUGAAUACUAGACAGGGAGUCUGAGAGAAAAUCACCGAAAAAGUUUCGGACACCGAAAAGUUUCGGACAGCGGAAUCGUACCGCAGAGAGAGGUCACCGGAUGAGUUUCGGUGAAACCGAAAAAGUUGUUUCGGGGUAUGCCAUUAAGUCAAAAUGUUUUCGGCACAUGCCUGAUAAUUCUUGGAGGGUGCCAGAAUCAUUCUGGAAACUUUUUGGAAUUUUCAGAAAUAAAAACCGAAAAUGUUUCGGAGCUGCCGGUACCGCUUUGGCUGUUUUUCGCAGAUGAAAUUCACUAAUCUGAAAUUGUUUCAGAACGAAUCCAAAAUCAUUUUAGUGGGUACUGGAAUUAUUCUAAUACCCACAGAAAUAUUUUCGGAUUUAGUGGACGCGAAAAAUUGUCUUCAUGAAUAGUGAAAACGCAUUCUUGUUUGCUUUUCGCAGAUGAAAAUCACUAAACCGAAAUUGUUUCAGAACGCGUUGAAAAUUAUUUUAGUGGGUACUGGAAAUGUUCUGAGCCCACAUAAAUAUUUUCAGUUCGAACGGACGCUGAAAAAUGUCGUCAUGAAUAGUGAAAGUGCUUUUUGCUUGGCUUCUUGGAGAAGCCACCUUGAGGGCCUUUUUGGUAUUUCCCCCCUUGGCUUCUUGGAGAAGCCACCCUUGGGCUUGGCCUAUAAAUAGGGGUGGAGGGGGCUGCCUAAAGGAUCAUCCCUUCUCACAUACAUGCCAUUGCAAUGAUCUGGCUUCUUCUCUCCCUCCCAGCGAAAUAGUUUCGUAGAGCCGAAAGGCUGUCUGGGUUCCGGCAGGAACUAGUUCUGGACGGCGAAGCCCUGCCGGAUAGCUGACACCGUAUGUGUGCAACUCUGUAGAGAGGUCGUAGUUUCGAUCUUAGUGCCCUGAGGGGCUGUUCGAGAGUGCCUCCCGAAGGGCUGUCCAAGUGACGGUCCGAGUUCUGUGGGUCCUCCCGGAGGGCUGUCCGAGUGACCGUUCGAGUUUCGAAGGUCCUCCCGAAGGGCUGUCUGCGACACCGUCCGGGGGACUGUUCGACCACCUCCCGGAGGGCUGUCCGUAUGGCGGAUGAGGGUAUUCAUCCUCGCGGUUGGGAGGUUGUAAAUCCUAGCUGCGGGGAUCUGCACCGCCGAUCGUCAUCGACUCUACUUCCCGCUGCGCUACGAGUCGGUAACGAAAAAGAUCAAACCAUGUAUGCAGUCUCCAUAGUGGUCCUGGGCUGGUGCGUAGGUCGGAAAUUUUUUGUUUUCUGCUGCGUUCCCCUACAUCGUCGUCGUGCACAUGAUGCUUGGAGGUGACUUGCCAUUCAUGAUGAUGUUGGCGAUGGUCGCCAUGGAGAUGUGGACGUGGACGACUUGCGCUAGCAUCUUGUUUGCGCUCCAAAGACUUGUGACUUGAAUAUUGCCGCUUGAGGAUGAUGAAGGGGAAGAACGGUUGAUCGACAAGGUCCGAAUCUCCUCCAACCUUGCAUCUUGCUCCUCCUUUUGUGCAGAAAGCUUGUUGUCGAUGUAGUCCCUUUUCCUUGCUUUGGAGUGACGAAUGUCGAUGGAAAGGUUCUCGAUGCGCUCUCGCAAUCUUGAUCGUGCGCCUUGCAUUUGUCGUUGUAGAUCGAAGAUGGACGCUUUGGUGAUGUAGUUGUUCGCGUCGUCGUUGUUGUCAAAGACCGGAGAUGAAAUGCCUUGCCUAUCCAUCACAAGACUCGAGCAAAUAUGAGUGGGAGAAAGAGAAGAACUUAUACCAAAUGUACCUUGACCGAUGUUGAAAAUGGAUCAAUGAUCACUCAAUGAUGUAACAAGGAAAUAGCACAAUUGGUACCGACCUUGUCAAUUUCUCACACCUACACAAAUAAGGCUUAUAGUGGAGCUCGGUGAGGAUAGUGGCAUAAAAAUUUGAUGCAAAAUGUUAGCAAGAGUCAAUAAUGUUGAAAGAGAUUCACAAAUUUGCAAGUGAAACAAGUAGACCAAUAGCAAUAUGUUGUACACGGAAACACAACGCACGGAAAGAUAAAUGGGGUCGUGCAACCAAGGAAUGAGCCAAAAUGUGGUAUCCACUAAAAUGCUCUUGUUGCACAACACUAGAGAGACGCUAGCACGAUUGCACAAUAGGCGGAUACGCGACUUGUGCACAACCUACUAAGCAAAAAUGCAAUGACUUAUAUCCCAAGUAUGCUCUAUGUAUGGUGUUUCGAUGGUAUGAUCCAAGAUGAUCGGAUAUGACAAUCUUAAUGUAGUAUGAUGCUAUGGUUCUUGCUUAUAAGCUCUUUGCUUAUCUUUUCUCUUUUCUUAAAAGCUUGGUUGGCUCUUUCUCUUUUGAGCUCUUUUCUCAUGCAAUGCUUGACGAACCAAGAUAACAAUUGUGUAUGCUUAUGACAACCUUGUGACACAAGAGAUGAUACCAAGAUAUGCACCACGAUGAUAUGGUAUGUAUGCUAUGGGACGUAUGAUCACUAAUGUGCACAAGUAACGUUGCCGGCAAUACUCAAAGGCUAGUCUCGAUGGGUAAGGUACGCAAAAAUGGUCUAUGGUGGUUAUCAAUGCAAUGGCAAGAAUGUAGAAUGAUAUCACGAUACCAAGAUGAGGUUACCGUCGAUGACGAGUCCCUUGCGAAGAUGAGCGGCGGUGAUGUCGAUGUCGAACCGUUCCUAGUUAGCCGAAACACCCUAGGAAACGAUGAACAACAACUCAAAUUCACAAAACCAAAAGUGGCAAAAUUUGACGGAGAUUGGUAGCGUUCAAGUGGUGGUAGGGUUUGGUGUAUCCAAAUGGGUUUGCGGAAGUUAGUGGUGGUGGUGGAAGUGGGUAUGCGGAGGCGUAGGUGGCGGUGGAUAAAACUGCAGAAAAUGCAGUUUCGGCAGAGGAAGCCGGAUGAUCCGGGCCAGGAGCCGGAUGAUCCGGGCGGGUCAACUGCGCUCGGGGAUAGCUCGGGGUGAACUCGAGAACGGGGACAAAUCCGAGGAUUUCGAGGAUUUUGGAUGGAUGACGAGGUGCAAAAUGGUGGGGAAAGGCUAGAUCCACUUGCAACACAACAAAUUCACGGAUCAAAACCAACAAAACAUCAUCAAAACUCACAAAUCACAAAAAAAUUGGGGGGCUAUUUUUGUGGGAAUUUUCGGAUUAGGACGAAAAACAACAAAAUCAAGCUAGAAAACAUGGUGUGGAGGCUCCAAAUCCGUGAUCAACGUGGCUCAUGAUACCAAGAUGAUGUAGGGUAGAACCCUAGUGGCCCGAUCUUUCACGAUUGGAGCGGAUCCCACGAAGAACACGAAGAACACGGGGAGAAAACACGAGGAGGAACAUGAGAGAAAUCACUCAAACCAACAAGAACGAUCACACAUGUGCUAGAUCUUCGGAACACAAAGAGAUACACGAUCCAAAAUCAACAAGGGACGAUACAUAGGGUAAUCGGUUCUUCUGCGUGAGGAGGUCUUGAUGGGGCCACCCGUGAGGGGGUCUUGAAUCCAAGGUGGAUCUUCUUCGUAGAGGCGCGCGGUCUCUCUCGUGGAGUAGAUCCGUAUGGAUGAGCAAAGCUCUAUCUCUAAAUGAGCUAAUCCUUUGCUAACCCUCAAAUGGAGGAGGGGGAGGAGUAUAUAUAGUCUAAGCCACGAAGGGGUAAGUGAGGGGCGAAGGGGUGCAUGGGCUUCGGCCCAAGUCACGCACGCAAGCGGGGUCCGGAUGAUCCGGAUGGUGGCCCGGAUGAUCCGGGUAUCGGGGGUCCGGAUGAUCCGGCUUCGUCGAGCAGGCUUCGGGUGUCUUCGGGCACAUUACCCGGAUCGUCCGGGUCGGGGUCCGGAUCAUCCGGGCUUGGUCCGGAUCGUCCGGCUGGGGAUCUGGAUGAUCCGGGCAAGUCCAGUCUUGCUCUGAUCUUCUUCUUCCUUCUCCUCUUCCAUGCUUGGCCUUGGUCCUUGGAUCCUCCAUGGUCAUCUCGGUUGUACCUGAGUAUAUGCAAGGUCCAUGCAUGAGGUAGUAGCCAUGUCUCACAUGUGGAAAGUGACGGUUCGAAGAGGAGUGAGUUUACCUUGUGUCCAAUGGCGUAUGGUCGAGGUCUCAUCGUAUGUCCUCUUGGGGCUUGGGGAGUAGUCGAAGUGUACAUGGGGAUGAUCGUGGGAUGCUCCGCAUCACAAAGACAGGGGAGCACUGCAGCACGUUGAUAUCAUUGUGAGUUCCUGGCAUACCAAAGAAGGAGUGCCAAAUCCAGUGGUCAUGUGUUGCCACCGCCUCAAGUACCACUGCAACCGCCUUUGACGCCUUUGUACAUCCCCUGCCAAGCAAAUGGGCAGUUCUUCCAUUACCAAUGCAUGCAGUCGAUGCUUCCAAGCAUCCCAGGAAAUCCUCUUGCUGCAUUCUGUGCUAGAAUCCGAGCAGUGUCUUCCGCAUUGGGUGUUCGCAAGUAUUGCGGUCCAAACACUGCCACCACUGCCCGACAGAACUUGUAGAAACACUCAAUGGUGGUGGACUCGGCCAUGUGCCCAUAGUCGUUGAGUGAAUAACCGGGAGCUCCGUAUGCAAGCAUCCUCAUCGCUGUCGUGCACUUCUAGAUUGAGGUGAAUCCAAGUUUGCCGGUGCAAUCCUUCUUGCACUUGAAGUAGCUGUCGAACUCCCGGAUGGAAUUCACAAUCCCGAGGAAAAGCUUUCGGCUCAUCCGAUAACGGCGCCGAAAUGUUUUGUCGCUGUGCAGUGGAGUGUCGGCGAAGUAGUCAGAGUAGAGCAUGCAGUAGCCUUCGAGACGAUGCCGGUUCUUUGCUUUCAUCCGCCCUAGCGCUGAGCCACCUCACCGCGACUUUUCAUUGCUCGCCAGCAGGCCGGUGAGGGCGGCGAGGACCAUGAGAUGUUCCUCUUCCUGGACGUCUGCCUCGGCUUCCUCCUCCAGCAGCGCGACGAGUGCUUCCUCGUCGCCCGAGUCCAUUGCCGAGGUAGGCAAAUCACCGAACACCUUGCGGGCGCGGUGGGCGCGUACCCGCCGCUACACAGCCCCUCCGCGACCGGAAACGCUGGAAAAAUCGCCCAGCUGGUGGUGGAGAGGCUGCCUCGGCGAAACCUCUGCUCUUUUUCCAGCGGGGAUGGGCUAUCUAGCGGUAGCGGACGAUGGGCGACGCCGGGAUCAGUCGGUUGGCGGCCGAGCGCGCAGGGGGUGGUUGGCGAAUCUGAAAGAAAGACUUGACUUUCCGCCUGACGGUAUGGGCCAGACGUGCUUUUCCCUUGCGCCGGAGCCCCCAAGCGCCGGGUUCGGCCUGUGAUCGCCGGGCCCAAAAACGGGCCGAGCCGGCGAAUUUCAGCGUCCUAGAGGCGCGACUGGGGCGUUUUUCGGCCCUGGCGUCAAAAAUGUCACCUAGGGGGCGCGGCUUGAGAUGCUCUGACAGACCUUGUCCGGUAAACGACCUUGCGCGUCAACUUACAAACACAUAACCAAGUCUAUUCUUAUAUAUUUCAACAUUCAAAAAAUUGUCUUGAGAAUAACCUACUACUAACUUCCGUUAUAUUUUUGCUUAUUUUAAGAAUUUUAAAAAAAUUGUUCUAAUGAAUUUUAUUCUUCUCCUGAUUCAAAAUACGACAACGUGUUUUUGGCACCUUCCUAAGCCAGCGACCAACAUCUUAUUUUUACAGUUUCAUAGCGACGGUCAGGUGUUACGCUACUCAAGUAAAUUACCCCAUCACGGAGAAACAAAAGCCACGUGCCCCAUUGCAACAUAAUAUAUCAACACAAUAUUCCAGGAAAUAAAUGGUGUUUAAAUAAAAAAUCAAACAAAUCUUUCUCCAUAUUUGUUGAGUGCUGAUAAAUAUUCUACUGUAGUAGAUAAGGAACAUCAGAAUGGACACUGAUCACUUCAUUUGAACCAAACUGGAAAAUUCAUCAAUACUUCAAUACAUCCGCUCAUGUGGCACACAAAACAGGCAAGGUAUGCACACAACUUCAGAAAUAUAAAGCAAAUUCGGCUGACAACUUAUCAACUCAGGUUCAG
rnacentral:lncRNA from 1 species